rnacentral:lncRNA from 1 species
GUUAAAUUUGUUGAAUCUGGCAGCGGCAACGUGCCUUCUUCACCUGCUAACACCCUCUCCAACCUCUCACAAAACAGUCGGAGGUGGACGUCCAGCAUAUCUCCUCCUCUCUGUAGCACCCAGAGGUAUUGUUUUUUUGCUCCAAGAAAUAUUAAAAGGAUUGGUUCUAUCUCAAAGUGGUUACUGGUGUAAAAUUAAACGACAUGGGAGAAUUUGAAAGGAAGAUGCCAAGGAACUGGCGAAGUGGCUAAAUUCCACAAAUACGGCAUUAUUGCUCAAUUUUAAGUCAAAAAAUUGAUACGCGUUCAUUUAGAAGAGGUAUCCAACCUUUAUCUUAUUUUAAUUACUACCACGACAUGAUUGAUGGUGUUUAAAUCAAUUGUUUCUUUUUUAAUUUAAAGAAUUUUUCAUUAAAAAUAUUUUAAUAUCAAAUUGCCUUCAAUAGCGUAACUGCCGCAAGCCCAGUAACAGGAUUAAUUAAAAUUUUUUGAAUUUUCGGGCACGGAAAGAGUAGUAUUAGACUUCAGAAAGCUAAGGUUGUUAUGUUAAAGAAUUGAUAUUGACAUAAUUUUAUUUUGGCUUUCGGGUAAAAAAAUAUUUGUUGACAAGCAAGAAAAUAUUUUUGUAUUUUACAAUUUAUUAUACAUAUUUGAUCAUAUUAAAGUAAUUUUAAUAAUAAAUAGACACAUAAUAUUACAAUAAAUAAAGUAAAGUUUAAAUUAUUUUGAAUAUUAUAAAAAAAUAAUUUUAAUAUUAUUAAUAGGAAGACAUUUUGUUAAUUUUAAAAUCUUUUUAACCUAAAGGUUUAUUUAAAAUCUUUAGAAAUCUCCAUCCCACAUCUACCCUAUUAAACAAGUUGAUGGAAAUUGAACAGUUGCUUUUUGAAGUGGACCCAUUGAGUUAUGUUCAUUACUGGUCAUUGUCUAUUCUUUCUAAGAGCCACUUGUUUUGAGCAUUAGCAAUCCUAUCUGGACUACUCCAAUUAUUGAUGUAACUCCAAUGGUUGCAUCGACAGUUGAAUGUAAGAUAGUGUUAGUUCUUUUUUGAGAAUUUCUUUAUUUGUUUCUCCGUUGCAGCGUAUUAGUAUAAAUUUCUUUACCUUACAGUUCCUACAGUCUUCCUGUUAAUGAAUUCGCUGAGGCAUUAUUGAUCCAAUCUCAGUGAAGUAAUUGUGGGUGAAAAAAAAAAUAAAGGAUAAGAGAACGUAGCUGAAUUGACUAUUAAAGAAGAGCGUCACCUGAUCACAAUCACAUUGAUGCACAACUCACUCAGAUCAUUACAACGUCCUUUUCGCUAAUUAAUUAUGAUUAUAUACAUUUUCAUAUGGCAAGUGGCAUUGUAGAUCUAAACUACGUUGCUAUUUCAUUACGUUAAUUAAGUGAUUCUCCUGAUUGUCAUCAGCGCUAUACCCUCUAGGAAAAUAGCUCAAUUGUUUUCCUGCAUUGAUUUUCAUUGGUAUGUGAUUUCUUAUGAAAUUCUUUUGAGCUUUCCUUAAUUAGACUUUUGAAAAUAGAAUUAAACAUUAGAUUAAAAUAAAAUAGAAUUAAACAUUGGUAUGUGAUUUCUUAUGGAAAGAGUAGUAUUAAACAUUAGAAAGCUAAGGUUGUUCUGUCAAAGAAUUGAUAUUGGCAUAAUUUUAUUUUUGCUUUCGAGUAAAAAAAAAAAAAAUUGUUGACAAGCAAGAUACUGUUUUUAUAUUUUACAGUCAGUUAUACAUAUUUUAUCAUAUUAAAGUAAUUUUAAUAAUAAAUGGAAACAUAACAUUACAAUAAAUCAAUUAAAGUUUAAAUUAUUUUGAAUAUUAUAAAAAAUAAUUUUAAUAUUAUUAAUAGGAAGAUAUUUUGUUUAUUGUAAAAUCUUUUUAACCCAAAGGUUUAUUUAAAAUCGUUAUAAUAAAUAAAAAUAUAAAAACAAAAUAAAUAUCAUAAUUUAAAAUUUUAAUAUUAUUUUAAAUAUUAAAAAUACUUUAAUGCUAUUAGUCUACUACACAGGUUAUAUUACUUAUAUUAUAUUUGUAUAAAUUAAAACUUUUAAAGUUAAAUUUUUAAUUACUAUAUUGAAAAGGUAUUAUGGUUAAAAAAAGUUUUGGCAUUUCUUUUUGAAAAUUUGAGGGUCUGCAGGACAAUUUGUCCAAAUCCUAGAGGUAUAGGUGUCUUUUUUUUUUCGAUAAUUCAUUUUACUUUUGAGGGAAUCUGAUGAGAAAUAAGAUAAGAGAAACGUCAAUUUAACGUUCUCUACGGAAAACCAAGAACUAUUCAAUUUUGUAUUUUUUGUUUGUAAAACGAAAAACAGUUUGCCAAAAAAGGUACCAAACAUAUCCUUAAUGUCUCACAUGAUUUCUUAUUAAGUCCAUACUCGAUAUAUUUAUACAUUUUAGGUAUUUUAGUUAUAAAAGAAGUUGGUCCUCCCUCUGUUUAUAAAAGGUAACUUUAUUUCGAGAUUACCACUAAAGUCUUACAAUGAAUUAGUGUAAUGUUAAGAGAGAGUAACACAAUUUUUCAUUACCAUUUUGAAAAUAGAAAGAUAUGGAUGUGUGCAUUUAAUGGUGCGUUUACUUGUCGGAUUGGGGAAUCGGAAUGAUUGAUGGUGUUUACUUCGCAAAUAUGGAGCAGGAAUCGAAAUUGAAAUGGUGGGGCCCACUACUAUUUGGGAAUGGGAGAUUGAUUCCCAUGGGGGAAGGUGUGAAUAGGGAUGGCAAAUUUUUCCGGAUCUGGCUCGGACCCGGAUAAACCCGGAUGAUCCGGUCCGGGUUGAACCCGGACGGGAUGUAUAAAAAUGCGGAAUCCGGAACCCAUUUUACAAACCCGCACAUGUCCGGGUCCAGUUCCGGUUUUAGGCGAACCCGUAUGUCCGGAAUCCGGACCCGGAUAUUUAUUAAUUUUAAUAUUAAUUUUUAAAAAAAUAUUUUUAAUAUAAAUAGAAAAAAAAAAGAACCCAGAGGUGCCCUAGGGCUUCAUUCAUUCACAGCCGCAGCAACACAUUUCCUCUCCCUCUUCAACUUGUCUUCAUCAAAUCAAAUCGUCGUCACACUCACUUGCCCACCUUCGCAGCUCAUCAUCAUCCUCAUCAGCUUGUCUUGGCGUCUUGCCCACCUUUGCGUUGCAGCUGUUCAUUAUCAUCAUCAUCAGCUUGUCUUGGCGUCUGACUCUUGCCCACCUUCGCGUCGCGGCUGUUCAUCAUCAUCAUCAACUCGUCUUGCCAACUUUUGCGGUUGUUCAUCAUCAAAUCAUCGCCGUCGUCACUUGUAUCAGCCGCCGUCACGAACAAUAACUAGCUUCGAUACAAUCAGAAGUAGCGAGCUUGCCUUCACCGGAUGCCAAUCCUUAAAGUUCGUGAAUGCCAAAUCGGUUCGAACCAAGCUUAUUUGUAUUUGGUUAGUUUAGGCCAUGGAUUUGUAUUUAAUUUGCUGAAAUCCUAGAUUUGUAUUUCCAUUUGUCAGUUGAAUUUAGUUUUUUUUUUUAAAUUAGAUUCAUCAAUCCGGGUUGGAAACCCGCAAUCCGGAAACCCGGUUUUUCCGGGUUGAAUCCGGACCGGACCCGGAGUGAAAAAAUGCGGGUUAUGUCCGGGUCCGGUAUAGAAAAAUAAUCGUCCGGGUCCGGAUCCGGAAAGGCUGAACCUGGACCCGGACCCGGACCCGGAUUUUGCCAUCCCUAGGUGUGAAUGAGUCUCCCAUUCCUGGAUUGACCAUUUUGCCCUCCCUCAAAAUUAAAAAUGCCUACUUUGUCCUCUUUUAUAAUUAAUUAAUAUAAUAUUAUAAUUAAUUAAUAUAUAAAUAUUUUAUUAACUAUAAUUAUUAAAAAUUAUAGUUCUUGAAUAAAUAAUCACAAUAAUUAAUUUAUUAUUAUUAUUGUUAUUUUAAUUAAUUAAUUAAUAUACUAUUAUAAUAAUUAUUAAUAUAAUUAAUUUAUAUAUUAUUAUUAUUAAUGAAUUAAUAUAAUUAUUACUAUUAAUUAAUAUAUUAAUAUAUUAUUAACAAUAAUAUAUUAAUAAUUAUUGUUCGUGAAUAAAUAAUCACAAUAAUUAAUAUAUUAUUAUUGUAAUUAAUUAAUUAAUAUACUAUUAUAAUAAUUAUUAAUAUAAUUAUUAUAAUUAAUUCAUAUAUUAUAAUUAAUUAAUUAAUAAAAUUAAUAUUAUUAAUUAAAUAAAUAAUAUAAUUAUUACUACUAAUUAAUAUAUUAUUAAAAAUAAUUAUUAAUAAUUAUAAUUUUUGAAUAAAUAAUCACAAUAAUUAAUAUAUUAUUUUAAUGAAGUAAUUAAUAUUAAUAUUAUUAGUUAAUAUAUUUUGAUAAUAAUUUUUAAUAUAGUUAUUAUAAUUAAUUAAAUUUUUUUACAAUUAAUUAAUAUAUUAGUUAAUAAUAAUUAUGACAAUAAUCUAUUAAGUACUUUUUAGUAAUUUAUUACAAUAUAAUUCAUUCCGAUUCCGAUUUCAAGACAAAGUAUACACAUUAAUGGCAAUCUAGCUCAUUCCGAUUUUGAUUCCUACAGUUCAAGUAAACAACUUAUUUUAAUUCCCAUUACUUAUUUCCAUUCCAGCCCAUUCUCAUUUCUGUCCAUUCCGAUUCCAGCUAAUUCCGAUUCCAGUUUAGUAAACGCAGCAUAAGAGUUAUCAUGAAAAUCAUACAAUUCAAUUUCCUGAAAUAUAUAUUUUAUUCACAUGUGCCAAAAGAAUAAAUAGAUAGAAAGUAAAUUUACAAUCCUCACUCCCUCACAAUUGUUAAAGUGAAUAUGCAUUACAACUGUGAACUGUCACUACUUUAGCCCUUUUUAAAAAAAAAAAAAAAUUAUAGUGUGAUCGAGACAGUGAACAUCAAGGAUAAAGUGCUCUGCUGGAAGCCAAACUUCCUUUGGCUUUCGGGGAAAAAAAUAUUUGUUGACAAGCAAGAAAAUAUUUUUGUAUUUUACAAUUUAUUAUACAUAUUUGAUCAUAUUAAAGUAAUUUUAAUAAUAAAUAGACACAUAAUAUUACAAUAAAUAAAGUAAAGUUUAAAUUAUUUUGAAUAUUAUAAAAAAUAAUUUUAAUAUUAUUAAUAGGAAGACAUUUUGUUAAUUUUAAAAUCUUUUUAACCUAAAGGUUUAUUUAAAAUCUUUAGAAAUCUCCAUCCCACAUCUACCCUAUUAAACAAGUUGAUGGAAAUUGAACAAUUGCUUUUUGAAGUGGACCCAUUGAGUUAUGUUCAUUACUGGUCAUUGUCUAUUCUUUCUAAGAGCCACUUGUUUUGAGCAUUAGCAAUCCUAUCUGGACUACUCCAAUUAUUGAUGUAACUCUAAUGGCUGCAUCCACAGUUGAAUAUAUGAUAGUGUUAGCUCUUAUUUGAGAAUUCAGAGGGAUAUUUCUAUGUUUCUCAAUUGCAAUGUGCUAGUAUAAAUUUCUUUACCUUACAGUUUAUAUAGUCUUGCUGUUAAAGAACUCACUGAGGCAUUAUUGAUUCAAUUUCAGUGGAGCAAUCGCGGGUAGAGGAUAAAUAAAGGAUAACAGAACAGAGCUGAAGUGCUAAAUUGGCUAUUGAAGAAGGGUGUCACAUGAUCACAAUCACAUUGAUGCACAACUCUCUGGAGGCAAAUUUUGUCUAUAUGUACUCUAAAUUCAUCUAAACCAUACAUGCAUGAACAAAAAUUAAACCGUAGUUCUCAUCACAACAGUAAUUGAAGCUACAAAAGCCAGCAAAUCUGAACAAAAACUUAAAAGGAAGAUCUUAUUCAAAUUUGUCCCCAAAAGAGAGCUGAGAUGAAAAAUAUUGACUAAUGAAUGGGUCAAUGCUGGAUACAUUUCAAAUGGAAAGCUUGGCAGCAGUUACAAUGUUUCCCCCUCAGCUUUUCCUCCAAAACAAAUUCAGUUGUAAACAAUAACCGAAGUAGAGAUAAUUCAUUCAUCAAAGAAAAUACCCAAGUUUUCAACUAACAAAUCCUCUUGUCUAAACUAAAAAAACUCGUAUCUCUAAAAUUUAUUUGCAAAAUGUUGGAAAUGAGGAGUGAUCCGUUAACUCCAUAAAUAAACUCAUGCAUAAUGUUAACAAUAAUGAUAAAUUACAUAAUAAUUAUUGUAAAGAAUUAUAAAUUGGAAACGCUAAUCAUUCUACAAUCUAAUAAAUAAGUAAGAUAAAUCUUGUAAUAAGUUAAGUUAUAAUGUAUAAAUAUUUUCAAUAUAUAAUUAUUUAAGAAGUCAUUUAAUAAUAAAAUAUUUAUUCUAUUCAGUUGAUCAUAUAGCGUUAUCUAAACUCUUGACGAUAUUAUUAUUACACUUUUCUCAAAAAAACAUGAUUAACAUUUAGAGAAAAGUCAUGCCUUUUAGAUAGAAUAUGUACAUAAGCUAUCCAUACUUUAUCUUACCAUGAAAAAAUUGAUGGUGAUUAAAUCUACUUUUAAAAUAGAUUUAAUGCACAAAUAUGAUGAUUUUUGGCAAAAAUUAGUUUCGGAAGAUACAAUGGUAGAAAAUAGUGAUGAUUAUUGUUUAAAUGUGUAAAUAGCCUAGGCAUAGCCCGUAAUACCAAUAUCCAUUUACCUUCAUUUAGAUUAUCACAUCUCAUAAUAUUUUUUCAUUCACGACCAUUGUUCGAGAUUUGAACUUGAUCAUAAAUUAAGCUGCAACGGAGUCUACUUAUGUUUCUAAGCUUUUCAAUCGCGAUUCCUCCAUGCCUUUCUUGGAUACCAUUUUACUGACCUUGUAAUUGGUGUGUAUAAGGAAUCAUGCCCUUUCAGGAUUGUUUUCUUUUUCUUUUUUUUUUCCUUAUUGUAGUGUCAAAUAAAUAAAGAACGAACAAUUGAACUUAGUCUAUUUCGAGGAAAACCAAGGCCUGCAAUAUUAGAUGAACUUUGAACAAAAUUAAUCUACUGCUUUUAGGCAAUGAUAACGUAGUUAUUUAUAUACAGUAUAAAUGAUAUUUUUUUGUCGAACGAGACUGUCAUUCAACAUUUAAAAUAUAAAACAUGUGGAAGAUGUUGUAAAUUGAUUGAAUGAAAAUAUCCCAAUGAAGUUUAGAAAAUUUGGUACUUGUUAUCUUAUCGAAAGUUUUCUAAAUUAUACGACUGUUUAAACUUAGCCCCUCCAGGUACUGCCACUUCUUCUACAUGAAAGUCAUAUAAGUUUGUGUUAGCUGCCUAUAGAUUGCAUAACAAUUUUCCUCAGGAAUUGUUGUCCAUUAUGGCAAUUUGAUUGAAAGUGCGGCUGCACUAAUUUUCUAGAUGAACUUCCCUGCAUGUUUGUUCUCAUAUGACCCAGAAUACUGCUAUAACAAUUGUGUUGGAAAUUAUUCAACUGGGUUACUAACUUACUAUUCUACAUCCCCACCAAAAUUUAAACAGUCGACAUUGUGGAAAGAAACACAUUUCGCCACUAGGCUUUUAGUGAGGCUAAUUUCUCUGAAUUUGGACAGAGUAGGUCCUCCAACGAGAACUGAAUCAGGACGAAUCGGCUCUCCAUUUUCUAAUUCGAACGAGCAAAGGAAGCCUGAAUCUGUGACCGUUAUCAAUAUUCUGCUUCCAUUCUGAUUCUCAGGAAGUACUUCUUCAAGAUCAUCCAAUACAUCGUCACCCUCUUUGUAGUAAUCAUCAAGCACAACAAAGUACUUCUUGUUUGUUAGGUAAUCUCGAAGAAUAGAUUUCUUCAAUUGAUAAUCUUCACCGAUAAUUAAUCUUCAAUUGAUCAUAAAUUAAGCUGCAACGGAGUUUACUUAUGUUUCUAAGCUUUUCAAUCGUCAUUCCUCCAUGCCUUUCUUGGAUACCAUUUUACUGACCUUGUAAUUGGUGUGUAUAAGGAAUCAUGCCCUUUAAGGAUCUUUUUUAUUUUUUUUUUUCCUUAUUGUAGUGUCAAAUAAAUAAAGAACGAACAAUUGAACUUGGUCUAUUUCGAGGAAAACCAAGGCCUGCAAUAUUAGAUGAACUUUGAACAAAAUUAAUCUACUGCUUUUAUUCAUCUUUGGACUAUGAAUUUAUACAAAGACUUUAACAGAAAAUAACAAAGACACAGCUACAUGAUACCAAUAAGUGCUGACUUAGUGGACUACUUCUACAACUAAAUAAAAACUAAUUAUUUAUUUUGAUUGUAAUAGCAACUACCCUGAUGAAUAGGACUCCACAACAACCACGUGACAAUUAAUUUCUCCUUAAUAUUAUUAUUAGUAGAAGUAGAUUUUCAAACUAGUCUUGAUAUAUGACAAAGUUGUAUUAUCAAUGUAUAUGCAUUUAGAUUGUAACUAUAUUUUUUUUAAAACAAAUUUAAUUAUUGCACAGUAAAUGUGGAAAAAUAUCUAUAAAAUAAUAUUAUUUACUAUGAAAAAAUAUUAUUUUAGAUAAGUUAUUUAUUUAUUUAUUAUUGAAUGAAUAAUUUAUUAAUUUAUUGAUAAAUGAAUAUUUAUUAAUUUAAAGAGAGAUUAUUUUUCUUUUAAGAAGAGUUUGUUUGGUACAUGUAUACACUUAUUAAUUUAUUGAAGAUGUCCAGCAAUUAAAGAUCUCUGUCUCAAUACUUUUCCCAAUCAAAAUCAAGAAACAAAAAAAAACUUGCCAUUUUUCUACUUGAUAAUUAAUUGAAAUUUAAGAAAAUACAAUGGCAUUUCAAUUAGAAUUGGUAAUUGUUUAUCUUUUUUUCAUUGAUCAAAUUCAAAUCUUUAUCCAAUAGUUAUAAAUGAAAGAAAUAUUAUGAGAGGAGAUAGGCCAAUUGAAGCCGUACCAGCAAAUAAAAAAUAGAAAAGGAGUGCAACUAUUCAACUUCGUAGACAAUAUUGCAACCAUCCAAAGGUGAAGAUCUAUGCUUAUUAUCUAUUUAACAGCUAUAUAUAUAUAUAUUUAAAUAUCAAGAGCUAUGCUUGUAAAUAAGUUCAAAUGUGAUGAGAACAACCUUAUAUUUAUUUAUUUAAAUAUGACCCAGGCUAAUUUCUCUGAAUUGGGACAGAGUAGAUUUCUAAGCUAAUGCUUGGCAGAUCUCUGGACGAUACUACAAAGUGCAUGUACAUUGAGUCUUAAUAAAUAUAAACGAUUCUCUGAUAUGAUUCAAAACAUCACUACAUGCAUAAAUUAAUAAGAAAUGUAUAGUUGUACAUAAUUUUAUGCAUGAGGCAGUUUUUAUAGUUGUACCCUCUCUAAUGAAAUUGAAGGUGCAGCCAGCAACUAAAAUGAAGCAGAAAUGUACACGCAUGAGGCAGUUUUUUUAGAAGAUUGAUAUUUCUUUAACUAGAAAGCCAUACAAGUCCACAGCUAGCCAAACCGUACCUGCAUGUGUCUAGGGCUUAAAUGGAGCACUUCUAAGCAUAAAACAGUAACUAAAACACAUACACAAACAUACAUACCAAAAAAUUCAAAAAAUAGAGAAAGGAACACAACUAUUCAUGUUUGUAGACAAUAUUGCAACCAUGGCAUCAGUUAUAGCAAAUAUUGAAUUACAAUAUUUCCCUUGACGAUUUUGUCUACACAAGUAAAGGGAAAUAAGAAUCAUAGAUGAAAAUCAACUUUUACGGUUCUAAUUAUUAGAUAGAUACAGAAUGAUCUAUCUUUGUUACUUUGUUUCUCUGCUGCAAUGUGCGAUCCCACUCUGUUUUGAUACUCAAAUUGACUCUAUGUGGAGACAUAAUUUUGACAUUGGAAGCAAUCCCAAUUAGUUUGGCAUUUGUAUCACCCUUUGAAGGUUUUACAAUAGAUGCAAAUCUACUGAGAAAAUGGUAAAAAAGUUGCAUAUAAAAUGAGGCAAUUAACAGAAGUAUGAGUUAUCAGAUUAGAUUAAAAGUCACCCAAUUCAAUCUAUCAGAUUCCGUACGGAUAUAACUGGAUGUCAUACCUCCACUCCAUAUCCUCGAAAGUCCGUAGUCUUUGUCUCAACUCUGUUUGAGGCCAAUGUAAAUCCAAUUUGCACAAGCUCUUUAUGCACCAUAGCUCUUCUGGAAGCUUUCUCAAGUAAGCACACGGGUUGACAAUUAAGCUUUCAAGUUUUGGCAUAGCUCCUGCCCCCAUCGUCCACUCGUCUAGCCAAUACAUUGACUUCAGGUGCAAAGUCUUAAGUUCCGGAAAGCCACCAGAGCUAACGCAGGCCAGCUUUCUUCCUAAAUACGAGUUCUGCUUUAGUUUCAGCACUUGAAGGCGUGGAAGCUUUUCCAGCAUUGGCAUGGGAUCCUCCAUUAGCUCAGUAUUUGAUAAGCUCAGUUGCAUCAGACUUGGAGGAAAUUGGUAUUCAGACAGGACCAUCCGUGAGAGCUUGCUCUCAUUCACCAACUUCAAGCAUUCAAUUUUGUGGAGUUCGCAUACGCUUUUGGAAACCCCAGAGUGAUAGCAACUCAAAUCUCCAGACACUCUAAGAGUUUGAAGAUUAGGUAGUCUGCACAAUAUAUCUGGCGUGCAACUACUAGGGUGUAAGGCUGAUAUGAAAAUAAGAUUUUUCAGAUUGAUAGAAUAAUUUUUUGGAGGUGCAGGCAGAGUGAUGGAACCAAAGUUCAGAUGCAUGAGUUUUUGCAUCUUCCAAAUAUCCUCUGGUGUUUGAUCUACGUAGCUAGAUGGCAUGUCUAGUGUUUGAAGGUUUGAAAGGGUGCAUAGCGGUGAAGGAAGACAUUUGAGCGAAGGGAUAUUCAAUUUCAAAUACUUCAAAUGGAAUAAAUUUUCUAAUCCGGGUGGAUAUUGGUCCAGGACUGCAGAACCCAUGUUCAAUACCCGAAGGUGUUUGAACAUUUUACAAAAAUUCUCGCAAUCUAUCGGAUUAAGAUGAUCGCUUUCUGAACUGUGAUUCAGAAAAGAUUGGAGAUACAUGUCCGAAUGUUUCAAAGAAAAGAAUUCAAUCGGAUCAUCGAAAAUGAUGUACCGUUUGGCAUUUGCCAAUGAUUCCUCUUCGAAGUCAGGCGUCCGGACAAAUCCCAUCAUUGCUGCCGUCCCAAGUAACGCAGCAUAUGCAAAAGUUGGAACAUAACUGAUGGGUGUCGAAGCCAACAAAAAUAAAUUCCUACUCUAAAUAAAUUGUGUAUAGUGAUUGAGCAGGGUCGUGUCCACAGAGAUCGGUAAUUAUUUAAAUCCUUUUGAAACGUAAAACGUAAAAUGGGGGAAUUGUAGACAAUAAUAAAAAUCAAAUUAAAUAACAAGAAUGCAAAUUAAAGUUGUAAUUCAAAUUGGAGAAAGCUCUGGUUGAAGGAAUUAACUAAGCUUGAUUCGACUACUGAUCAUUGAUUCAAAUAUAGAUUAUUAUUACUCAUGAAUAGACCGGUUAUAGCUAUUGAGACCCUCUAAUAGCCAAUCUCUCCUUAACUAGUCGAUAACCAAGGUACGACCGUUGGAUAUUUCCCUAAUCAAUAGACAACCCUAGAUACGAUCAUAUGAUUUAAUCAAUUGACAGCCUGAAAAAUCAGAGAGACCCAAAUCCUAAUUAACACAUAUGAUGAUUCAUUUAAAUUAGAUUGUUUAUUCUCACAACACAACUCUCUGCUAUGUUAUUUGUCACAAACAUCAAAUUCUUCAUACGAUGAAUCCUUUAAUUGACAAUAGAUUAAGUUGAUAAUUAAAUAGUGGCCAAUUACCUAAUUAACAAACAUAAUCAUAAAAAUAAUUCAGAGAAUAAACAAAUACCCAAAAAGUAAUAAAACAAUUAAAGCACAAGAAAGAUCUCACAGUAGUGAUGAAUCAAAGCUUCAUUAACCUUCAACCAGAAAAAUGGGUUUAGUUCCUCAUAGAGAGAAUAGAAAAAUUAGAUCUAGGGUUCUUUUUCUCCAAUCCAAAAAUCCCCCUUUUUCACAAUAGAUUCUUCCCUUAAAUACUCUCUCUCUCUUCUCUUUUAGAAUUCUAUUUAAAAUAAAAUACUAAUAUCUGAAAUAUUAAAUUCGUAAUUACAAAAAUAACCAAAAAUACAAAACACGUUAAACUAAAAACUGCAGGUCCGCAGUUGACAGCACGCGCCCACGCCUUAUCAACAAAGUUCUUCUGACGCUCAUAAUUUCUCCAAGAGAACAAUCCUCCUUAAACAUCAUCUUUUAGCUCAAUUUUAUCACCAAUCAAUAGAAUUGCACCUACAAAAGUAAAACACAAGUAAAACAUUAUUAUUAAAUGCAAAACAUCGAUAUUAAGGGAAGUAAAUAAUGCAAAACUAGUGCAUAAAUUGCACUCUAACAAUAACACGCCUUACUUGUGCCUCCGGCUCUUCUCUUAUUCACUUGAAUGAAGCCGCAAUCGAUUAGUUCGUUCAAGUAAUGCUCGGCAGUUUCCUCACUGUUGUAUGGUGUGAAACCUUCAGCUACCCACAACUGAUAUAAUUGCCUGGUAGAUAUCUCAAUGCCUGGAUGGAACACACACAAAUAGAGGCAGCAGAUUUUCAAGUGAGCAGAUAGCUCCAACACAUAAUAAAUUCGACUCCAAGUUGUCAGAAACGCUUUUUCUCCCAUGUAAAUUCUUAAUGUCGUUUUUCCAUAGUAUAGGAUGAAAAAUUGCCAGGAUUCAUGCUUUAAUCUGAUCAAUGGUCCUCCAACGAGAACUGAAUCAGGACGAAUCGGCUCUCCAUUUUCUAAUUCGAACGAGCAAAGGAAGCCUGAAUCCGUGACCGUUAUCAAUACUCUGCUUCCAUUCUGAUUCUCAGGAAGUACUUCUUCAAGAUCAUCCAAUACAUCGUCACCCUCUUUGUAGUAAUCAUCAAGCACAAUAAAGUACUUCUUGUUUGUUAGAUAAUCUUGAAGAAUAGUUUUCUUCAAUUGAUAAUCUUCACCGAUAACUACACUAACCCGAGAUGGAGGCAUUACAGACUUGAUUAUGUCAUCCAAUAUCAUGCGAAAAUCGUAGGAUAUAGAAACCCUGACCCAAGCAUGACAGUCAAAAUAGAACUUGACAUGAUUAUUAUUGUAAGUAUCAGCCGCAAAAGCAGUCUUAUCAAAGCCACUGCUGUCGAGAAUUGCAACCACUGAAAGCUGAGGUUGUCCCUCGAUCAGUAAAUCAAACAACUCCUCUCUGCCGCUUUCAAAUUCAUUCUUAUUAAGCUGAAAUAAUAUCAACUUCGCUCUUUGAAAUCAAAACCAUUGUCUCUAGGUGGAAGUUGUUUCAACUGAUUUCUAAUAUCAAUGAUUUUACUGUGGAAUCCAACAAGAAGAGCAAUGCAAGUAGUGCUUUCACUUUCACUGCUUUGUUGCUGCGUGUUGUUGAUGAAGAAUGUGUCAAUAGCUUUCUCAGAUUCAUCGACAAAGUAAUUGAUGUCUUUCAGAAGUUCCCUAAUGUCUGUUCUUUUAACAUUUUCUAAGUGCAAGAGCUGCCGAUAACGCGAAGGUAUUUCGUCUUCAUCGAAUUGUUCUCUAAUGAGUUGAAUUAAAACCCGAGCCAUGUCAGCUUCAUAGUUUCCCGGCAGACUAGUAGCAAUAAUUUCGGACUCCGUAAGAAGGUUUUGAAAAAGUGGAGUUAAAUUUGUUGAAUCAGGCAAAGUUAACGUGCCUUCUUCACCUGCUAACACCCUCUGCAACCUCACACCAAAUAGGGUGAGGUUAAUUUCCAUAUCUUUCCCUCUCUCAGUAGUACUCAGAGGUGAAUAACAACCUCACCCUUUGUUAGUAUUGAUGACGAAAGCUGAAUAACAAAACAACAGUGUACACAAUCAACAGAAGGCAAAGUAUGUUAAUUUGAGAUCAAAGGAUAUAAAUAUAGGAAAAGUUUUUGUAGAUUGAAAAUGGAUGGAUGCAAAGAAUGACUGAUAUUAAAUGAUUCUAUAAAUGAGAUAUGCCAAGAAUGAAUGAUAUUAAGUGAACAUCAAGGAUGGGAACAAAAUUUAAAGGUAACCUUUUUUUUUUUUUAAGUACUCUGUUGAAAGCCAAAGUUCCUUUGGCCAAUUAAUUUAGAAGUGAAGGAAAGAAUAAAGUUAGUCCUUGAUGUCUUUUGAAAUUAGAAAUACAUUUUGAAUGCCUUAAUAGAUGCAGAGCAAACUGGCUCGAUAUCUAACUAUUUUAAGAGCUAAAAUCAUUUAUUAGAAGUUGUAGCAUUAAAAAAAAUGGGCUUGAUAUCCAAUUUUGUUAUUGAAUAUGUCUCACGUGAGAGUAUAUAACUGUUGUGUUACUGGCAGAUGGCUAUGCUAGGUUUUAUUGCUCCUUGAAUUUGAUUGAAAAAUUAUUGAGACGGACAAGUUUGGACCAUUGUUCGAGACUGAAACUACACAUCAGUCUUAGAAAAUUGUAAUUUUAUUGGCUUAUCAUGAUUUUCAUCGCCCCAUAUUGAUUUUCCUAUGAUGUCUCUGUAGAGUGGCUAUGCUUACAUUUUUAGGUAUUUACUUCUAAAGGUUAACUUAUUAGAUGGAGGGACCAAUUCUACCCAUAAAUCCAAGUGGCUUCCCUUUACUAACUCAUAUGAGACACAACAAUAAUUUUCUUUGGACAAAACCACUGUUGGAGGGUUAUUUUCAUUCAAGAUACAUGAGUUGUUCCACCACCAUAUUUUGAGGGUUUGCUUUGGAUAUGACUUGGGGGAGCUAAGGCUAAGAUUUCUGAGUAGCAACAUAAAAACCUUGCCUAUUGGAUGGAAGGACCAAUCCUACUUUAAAGUCUAAAUGACUAAUUCUUGAGGACACAACUCAACAGACCAAUAUAAACUUUUGACGUCCCAUUUUAUUACUUUCCAGUGCUUUUACUUUUGCUGUCUAGAUAAAAACUAGUAUCAGUUUUUUUAUUUUUCCAUGUUAAAAAUGAUAAUUCUACAAUACAAACCGUUUCAAACAAAGAAGUAGACGAUAUUGAUAUUGAAUAAUAUCUUAUCCCAGAACGACAAUACUAAUUAUAAUUUCUUUUCGCACUGCAAAAAGUAAAAAAUGAGAUCCAAAUUGAAAUUAAUUCGACAAAGAAGCAAACAUUUCUAAGAACAUAUUUUAUACAAGUUUAUAGACAUAUCAUAUGGAUUUUGUUUUAUGCUAGAUAAUUAUUAAUUUAUAUAGCAAGUGGGUCCAUAACAAAAUAUGAAUUUAAGAAGAAGAAAAACUAUGUUUUACAAAAUUUCUGAAAUUAUUAACUUUUCACUUCGUCCAUCACAAAAAUUAUUAUUUAAUUCAGAUUAUCAAUUUAUUAAGAAUUAAUUCAAUGAGAUUUUAACAUAAAUAGUUACUUAUUAUCAUGUUUACGUUUCUCAACCAUUAAUUGCUUCAACUAAUUUUUGUUUCCACACACAAAUUUAUUGUAAAAAUAGUUCAACGUGUGUCUUUCUUCAAAUAACAAUUUUCUUGCCAAAAACAGUUUUCUUGUCACAAACAGAAAGUUUGUGUUAGCUGAAUGUCAUAUAAAAAACUGCCACUUCUUCUACAUGAAUGUCAUAUAAAUUUGUGUUAGCUGCCUAUAGAUUGCAUAAUAAUUUUCCUCAGGAAUUGUUGUCCAUUAUGGCAAUUUGAUUGAAAGUGAGGCUAAUUUCUCUGAAUUUGGACAGAGUAGGUCCUCCAGCGAGAACUGAAUCAGGACGAAUCGGCUCUCCAUUUUCUAAUUCGAACGAGCAAAGGAAGCCUGAAUCUGUGACCGUUAUCAAUACUCUGCUUCUAUUCUGAUUCUCAGGAAGUACUUCUUCAAGAUCAUCCAAUACAUCGUCACCCUCUUUGUACUAAUCAUCAAGCACAAUAAAGUACUUCUUGUUUGUUAGGUAAUCUCGAAGAAUAGAUUUCUUCAAUUGAUAAUCUUCGCCGAUAAUUACACUAACCCGAGAUGGAGGCAUCACAGACUUGAUUAUGUCAUCCAAUACCAUGCGAAAAUCGUAGGAUAUAGAAACCCUGACCCAAGCAUGACAGUCAAAAUAGAACUUGACAUGAUUAUUGUUGUAAGUAUCAGCAGUAAAAUCAGUCUUAUCGAAGCUACUGCUGUCGAGAAUUGGCUUGCAACCACUGAAAGCUGAGGUUGUCCCUCAAUCAAUAAAUCAAACAACUCCUCUCUGCCGCUGUCAAAUUCACUCUUAUCGAGCUGUGAUUGUGCCUCAAUCAAUAAGUGAGUGAAUUCGUUCCUUCGUUCUCUGAAAUCAAAACCAUUGUCUUCAGGUGGAAUUUGUUGCAACCGAUUUCUAAUAUCAAUGAUUUCACUGCUUUGCUGCUGCGUGAUGUUGAUGAAGAAUGUGUCAAUAGCUUUCUCAGAUUCACGGACAAAGUAAUUGAUGUCUUUCAGAAGUUCCCAAAUGUCUGUUCUUUUAGCAUUUUCUAAGUGAGCUGCCGAUAACGCGAAGGUAUUUCGUCUUCAGCGAAAUGUUCUCUAAUGAGUUGAAUCAAAACCCGAGCCACGUCAGCUUCAUAGUUUACCAGCAGAGUAUUAGCAAUAAUUUCGGUCUCCGUAAGAAGGUUUUGAAAAAGUGGAGUUAAAUUUGUUGAAUCUGGCAGCGGCAACGUGCCUUCUUCACCUGCUAACACCCUUUUCAACCUCACACCAUAUAGUGUGAGGUUAAUUUCCAUAUCUUUCCCUCUCUCAGUAGUACUCAGAGGUACGUAUUGUUAUUUGUUAGUGUUGAUGACGAAAGCUGAAUAUCAAAGGAUAUAAAUAAAACAAAAGUUUUUGUAGAUUGAGAAUGGAUGGAUGCAAAGAAUGGCUGAUAUUAAAAUAUUCUAUAAAUGAGAUAUGCAAAGAAUGAAUGAUAUUAAGUGAACAUCAAGGAUGGGAACAAAAUUUAAAGGUAACUUUUUUUUUUUUUUAAAGUAGUCUGUUGAAAGCCGAAGUUCCUUUGGCCAGUUAAAGUUAGUCCUCGACGUCUUUUGAAAUUAGAAAUACAUUUUGAAUGCUUUAAUAGAUGCAGAGCAAACUGGCUCGAUAUCUACCUAUUUUAAGAGCUAAAAUCAUUUAAUAGAAGUUGUAGCAUUAAAAAAGAAAAAAAAAACUGGCUUGAUAUCCAAUUUUGUUAUUGAAUAUGUCUCAUGUGAGAGUAAAAAAAACUGGCUUGAUAUCCAAAAUUUAAAGGUAACUCCUUGAAUUUGAUUGAAAAAUUAUUGAGACGGACAAGUUUGGACCAUUGUUCGAGACUGAAACUACACAUCAGUCUUAGAAAAUUGUAAUUUUGUUGGCUUAUCAUGAUUUUCAUCGUCUCACAUUGAUUUUCCUAUGGCGUCUCUGUAGAGUGGCUAUGCUUACAUUUUUAGGUAUUUAAUUCUAAAAAUUAACUUAUUAGAUGGAAGGACCAAUUCUACCUGUAAAUCCAAGUGGCUUCCCUUUACCAACUCAUACAAGACACAACAAUAAUCUUCUUCGGAAAAAACCACCGUCGGAGGGUUAUUUUCGUUCAACAUAAAUGAGUUGUUCCGCCACCAUAUUUUAAAGGUUUGCUUCUAAUACAACUUGGGGGAGCUAGGGCUAAGAUUUCUAAGAAUCAACAUAAAACCCUCGCCUAUUAGACAGAAGGACCAAUCCUACUUAUGAGUCUAAAUGACUAAUUUUUGAGGACACAACUCAACAGACCAAUAUAAACUUUUGACGUCCCAUUUUAUUACUUUCCUGUGUUUUUACUUUUGAUGCUGUCUAUAGCCCUACUAUUCUAUUAAGCAGAAAAUAUUUCAAGGCACUCUCGGUCCAGUAGAUAACUUUGGUAUUUAUUAUCUAUUUUCUUUCCAUUUUAUGUAUACCCCGAUCUUUACCUCUGAUUGGUUGUAGAUUCUUUUGUUGCUUUGGGGUUAGGGGAUGGUUUUCAUAACUAUUCAGUUGAUCAAUGCAGAAAAUCACCAUCAAGAAAUGAUAAAGGAUUGUUAGUUCUAUCUCUGACAAACAACAUUAAUAUGAAGGAUGAUGAUUGUUCUGUUCAAGAGUUUAUAAUGACAUAAUUCUACUUUGGUCUUUUAAAAAAAGUAAUUUAGAAACGAGGAGUAUGUGAGUGAUGAUUUUUACAAAAUAAAUUACAUGCGUAGUGAUGAUUUUGGCACAUGAAAAUGAAAAAAGAAAUAUAAAUUGUGAAUAAUAAUUGAAGAACCUGCUAUUGGUAUAUUGAGUAAUCAAGGACUUCAAUAUUCGGACGAUAUAAGCAACACAAUCAAAUAUUAGUUGGAAGGCAUAGCAAAAUUAGAAUGUAGAACAAACUGGGUAUUGAUAAAUGGAUGGUUUUGGAAGAAUUGAAAAUGAUGGCAUAAGUAAACCAAAGUUUAGAGAAAAGAGAAAGAGCAUUUGAACUUUACUUGUAAGAAAAGGCAAAUAUCUUGGUUCAAGAAAAGAUAAGAGAUAUCAAACUAGCAAUAGGAAAAAGGAGGAAGGUUAAGACAGCAUCUUAACAAAAGCUAAAGAAAAGAAAAACUUAGUUCAAGCAAAGAACAAUGUGCUAAUGUCGUGUAAUUUUGUUUAAUUUCUUUUUCUUCUCACAUUUUCCAGGGCUUAAAUAAUACAAUAUACAUUUUCAAGCAAAGAACAAUAUGCAAUUGCAGUACUUCUGAGCACACAACAACAAAUAAAUAAUACAAUAUACAUAGCCAGUAAAUUAAAAAUAUAUAUAUUAUUCAAGUUUGUGGACAAUACUGUAGCCAUGGCGUCGUCGAAAUCUACUGACAGCUGAAACAAAGAAAGAAUGGAUGAAUGCUGGAUCACAGUUGAAAUUGAAGGUCUGGUAGGUGAUGUUUCCCUCUCUUUUUUUACCUAAACAAAUACAAGAAAAUCAGAAUCACAAAUGAAAAUCUGCUAUUACACUGUUCUUACCUAUUAAAAUACAGAGGUUUCUUUGUUUCUCAGCAGCAAUGUCCAUGGCUAUUAGAAACAAGAACAAUUAGACCAGCAUUUGCAAGAAUCCUGUAAGGUAUUACUGCAGAUAUAAAUCGACUGAGGAAAUGGAAAAAUUGAAUACCAAAUUAGGCAAGUUAAAUGAAGAUUGAGUUAUCAUAGAAGAAUAAAACUCAUCCAAUUCAAUCCAUCAAAUUCCAUAAGGAUACAACUGGAUGUCAUACUGCUGCUCCAUAUCCUCAAGAGCCCGUAGAUUUUGCCUCAACUCUGGCUGAGGCCAAUGUAAGUCCAAUUUGCAAAAGCUCUUUAUGCACCAUAGCUCUUCAGGAAGCUUUCUCAAGUAAGCACAAGGGUUGACAAUUAUGCUUCCAAGUUUUGGCAUUGCUCCAGCCCCUAUCGUCCACUCCUCUAGCCAAUACAUUGAUUUCAGGUGCAAUACCUUGAGCUCCGGGAAACCACAAGAGCAAACACAAGCCAGUUUUCUUCCUGAAUAUGAGUUCUGCUUCAAUUUCAGCACUUGAAGGUGUGGAAGCUUGUCUAGUGUUAGCAUGGUAUCCUCCAAUAACUCAGUAUUUGAUAAGCUUAGAUGGAUCAGACUUGGAGAAGCUGGUAUUUAGACAGGGCCAUCCGAGAGAGCUACCACCUCUUGGUUUCGUUCACCAGCUUCAAGCAUUCAAGUUUAAUAAUGAUUAGUUUUAGAUUAGUUAAAAUGUAAUCAUGAUUAAGAUAAAUAUAUAUAUAUAUAUAGCUGCUGUACUGAUAUCAUGGAUUAAGUGUUGAGAAAUAAAAUUCAUUAAGCAUUUCCAGAACUCUUGAUUUUCUUUCUCAGUAACCAAGCAACUUCAAUCACAUUUUUUUUUUCCAACAAUGAGUUCUCAAACCACUCAGGUAUCAUUUUCAGACAUUCUUGGCCUUGUACUCACCAUCAAAAUGGAUUGGUUGAGAGAAAACAUAGGCAUAUUGAUGGUUGUCGAAGCCAGCAAAAAUAAACACCUACUCUAAAUAAAUUGUGUAUAGUAAUUGAGCAGGGUCGUGUCCACGAAAAUCGGUAAUUAUUUAAAUCUUUUUAAAAUGUAAAAUACAAAAUGGGGGAAUUGUUGACGAUAAUAAAAAUCAAAUUAAAAUAACAAGAAUGCAAAUUAAAGUUGUAAUCCAAAUUGGAGAAAGCUCUGGUUGAAGGAAUUAACUCAGCUUGAUUCGACUACUGAUCAUUGAUUCAAAUAAAUAUUAUUACUACUUAUGAAUAGACCGGUUAUAGCUACUGAGACCCUCUAAUAGCCAGUCUCUCCUUAACUAGCCGAUAACCAAGGUACGACCUUUGGUUAUUUCCCUAAUCAAUAGACAACCCUAGAUACGAUCAUAAGAUUUAAUCAAUUGACAGUCUGAAAAACCAGAGAGACCCAAAUCCUAAUCAACAAACACAUACGAUGGUUCAUUUAAAUUAGAUUGUUUAUUCUCACAACACAACUCUCUGCUAUGUUAUUUGUCACAAACAUUAAAAUUUUCAUACGAUGAAUCCUUUAAUUGACAUUAGAUUAAGUUGAUAAUUAAAUAGUGGCCAAUUAUCUAAUUAACAAAAAUAAUCAUGAUAAUAAUUCAGAGAAUAAACAAAUACCCAAAAAGUAAUAAAACAAUUAAAGCAUAAGAAAGAUCUCACAGUAGUGAUGAAUCAAAGCUUCAUUAACCUUCAACCAGAAUAAUAAGUUUAGUUCUUCAUAGAGAGAAGAGAAAAAUUUAGAUCUAGGGUUUUCUCUUUUCCCCAAUAAGUCCCUUUUUUCACAAUAGAUUCCUCCCUUAAAUACUCUCUCUCUCUUCUCCUCUAGAAUUCUAUUUAAAAUAAAUACUAAUAUCUGAAAUAUUAAAUUCGUAAUUACAAAAAUAACCAAAAAUACAAAACACGUUAAACUAAAAACUGCAGGUCCGUAGUUGACAGCACAAGCCCACGCCUUAUCAACAAAGUUCUUCUGACGCUCAUAAUUUCUCCAAGAGAACAAUAAUCCUUAAACAUCAUCUUGUAGCUCAAUUUUAUCACCAAUCAAUAGAAUUGCACCUACAAAAGUAAAACACAAGUAAAUCACUAUUAUUAAGUGCAAAACAUCGAUAUUAAGGGAAGUAAACAAUGCAAAACUAGUGCAUAAAUUGCACUCUAACAAUUAAGUUUGACUCUGUUGGCUCAAGCUCAACUUCCUUUUAAAUUCUGGUGGGAUGCAUUCCAUACUGCUCUAUAUCACAUCAAUAGAUUACCAUCUUCUGUUUUCAAACUUUCGACCCCAUAUGAGAAGAUAUUUAAGCACAAACCUGAUUAUGAUUUUCUCAAAUGUUUUGGUUGUAUUUGUUAUCCUUACUUGAGAGACUAUAACAAACAUAAGUUUGCCUACCAUUCCAGUAAGUGUAUAUUCAUUGGUUAUAGUCCUUCACAAAAGGGUUAUAAAUGCUUACAUUCUUCAGGUCAUGUCUAUGUGGCAUGACAUGUUAUCUUUGAUGAGUCAACCUUUCCUUAUGCUACUGAAUCUGUUUUUCAUAGUCACACAAAUUCUGAUUCUCAUUCUUCAAACUUAUUUACUCCACAGCAUGUCUAUUAUCUUUCUACUUUACCUGUCAUACCAGUAUUUCUAAAUAACAACACUGAUAAUCUAAACUCUACAAAACUAAAAUGCCAGCUUUUUGGUGUUAGCGAUAGGAAACAACUUACCACAACCAUUAAUUAUCCAUAAUUUCAUUGUUUAUCCUCAGUUUUCUUCAUAAAUGUUACAGCAUUCUUCAUGAGAAAGUGCAAGGGCAUCUCAAAAGUUCUGAAAUAAUACCUCAAUUCUAUUGCAAAAAUAAAUAAUCUCAAACAAGAACCAAUAAUCAUAUUUCGUUACUGUCAAACACAAUGCAUCUGAGCAAAACAUUGGAAGCCAACACCAGAAUACAUAUGAAUAAACAAUUAAAGAUAGAGAAAAAAGGCUUAAACCUUGGGGGAAAAAAGUGAAAAAACAUGAAAGACAAAUUACACAUGUGCAGUAACCAUCGAACUUAUCAGUGACAGCUGCAUCCAUUACAUUGCUCCAACAACACAAUGGCAAACCACCAGUUUCAAAUUGAGGAUAGCUCUCGAGAAUGAGAAAGUGUCCAAAACGUCAUAAAUAGACAUGUUCCUAUUGUGCAUAAUUUACAUUAUAGGCAAAUAUUCUUAUACCAUCAAAGGCAAAACAUGACACUAACAAUUGGGAAUCCACUCCCCCCUUUUCCUUUUUUACCCUCAUAAUUAAAAUAAAUAAAUAAUAUUUAAUAAAAUAAAUAAUAUCAUAUUUAUUAAAAAUAAUAAUUAUAAACAUAUUUAUUUUAUUAAAUUUAAUAAAAUAAAAAUAAAUAAAUAUUAUAUUUAAAUUAAUAAUAUUAAACAUUAUUUUAAUAAAUAUUAAUUAAUUAUUUAAUUAAUAAUAAUAAAUAUUUUAUUCUAAGAAAAUAUUAAUUUUGUACUAUAUUAUCAAUAAUAAUGUUUCAUUUGUGUUGCUAUUAUUAAUAAUUUUUAUUCACAUAAUUUAAAUUAAAAUUAAUAAAAAAUUAUGAUUUACAUAAUUAAGAAUAUUAUUAAUUAUUAUUAAUUUAUAAAUAUAAUAAAAUAUUUAUUUUAUUUUUCAAAUAUAUUUUUUAUUAAUUUUGUAAUUACAAAUUAUAAUUCUUUAAAUAAGGGUAAAAUUGUAAUUUAAAACUAUUUACUUCCAAUCCAAGACAAUGUAAACACAUAAAUUGGAUUCUGGUUUCAAUUCCAUUCUCUCAUUCCAUUGUAAGUAAACAACCUACUCCAACUCCCACUCCAAACUCCCAAUCUUAGGAUUCCCACUCCUCAGGAUUCCCACUCCAAUCCAAAAUGUAAACGCAUAUAAAAGUAUUUUGAGCAUUACUGGUCAUUGUCUUUCUAUGAGCCACUUAUUUUGAGCAUUAGCGACCUUAUAAGGAAUCAUGCCUUUUCAGGAUCGUUUUCUUUCAUUUCCCUAUUGUCGUAGUUAAUUAAAUAAAGAACGAACAGCUGAACUUGGUCUAUUUCGAGGAAGACCAAGGCUUCCAAUACUAGAGGAACUUUGAAGAAAAUUAAUUGGAAGCCUUCAUUCAUCUUUGAAGAAAAUUACGUGCCAACGUAACCAAGGCUUUUAUUCAUCUUCGGACUAUGAAUUUAUACAAAGACAUUAACAGAAAAUAACAAAGACACAGCUAAAUGAUAGCAGCAAGUGCUGAUUUAGUGAACCACUUUUACAAGUAAAUAAAAAGUAAAUAUUUAUUUUGACUAUAACAACAACUACCCUCUUGAAUAGGACUCUACAGCAGCCACGUGACAACUAAUUUUUCCAUAAUAUUAUUAUUAGUAGAAGUAGAUUUUCAAACUAGUCUUGAUAGAUUUCAAAGUUGUAUUAUCAAUGUAUAAGUAUCUAGAUUGUAACUAUAUUUUUAAAAAUAAAAUAUUUUAAUUAUUGCACAGUAAAUGUAGAAGAAUAUCUGUAAAAUAAUAUUAUUAGGACUAAGAAAAAAUAUUAUUUCAGAUACGUUAUUUAUUUAUUAUUGAAUUAAUAAUUUAUUAAUUUAUUGAUAAAUGAAUAUUUAUUAAUUUAAAGAAAGACUUUUUUGGUUUUAUGAAGAGUUUGUUUGGUACAUGCACACACUUAUAAAGAAACAUAAAAAGUGCUUCCUCAAGUCAAUGGUAUUUGCUCUAAUCGCUACGAUUCAUAAUAAUAUAGCUUAGUUAGGAAAUUUGUAAUUAUAAUAUGAUUCUUUUAAUACAACUUUUCAAGUAGAGCUUAUUUAAGUAGAGAUUUUGUUAAUAGAGGUAUUAUAAAUAAAGAUUCCACUAAAAAAAAUUUAGUUGUUUGAUUAUAAUGUCCAAAUUGAUGAACUUUUAUUCUUUUGUUAACAUCUGUUUGUUUUACUUAAUAAUAAAAGUUUAGUUUACAAUUACACCGGUAUCAAAUCAGCAGAGCAUUGUUGUUUUACUUUAUAAAAGCAUCGGCAAGAGUUUUCGAUUGUUGCAACUUGCAAUGCACGCGGUGAGAGAAAAUGAGAAUCUUGUUUAAUUGUCAAUAAUGACAAACCUAAUCCUUUCAUUAGGAGUAAUUUAAUAAUCGUUUGUUAUAAUUGAAUAGGUAUAAAGAAAGGACAAUUCUAUUCAUAGAUUCGACUUAUUUUUUUGUUUAAAGUAAGUAAUCAUUCAACCAUCUUCAUUUGCCUCUGGCCAAUGCCCUAGUAGAUUAGUUGAAGCGUUAAUUACUUAAUUCAGAUAAUUACAACGUCCUUUUCGCUAAUUAAUUAUGAUUAUGUACAUUUUCAUAUAGCAAGUGGCAUUGUAGAUAUAAACUAAGUUGCUAUUUCAAUACGUUAAUCAAGUGAUUCUCCUCAUUGUCAUCAGCGUCAUACCCUCUAGGAAAAUAGCUCAAUUGUUUCCAUGCAUUGAUUUUCAUUGGUAUGUGAUUUCAGAUUUCUUAUGAAAUUCUUUUGAGCUUUCCUUAUUAAUUGAUUUUCAAUUAACUUGUGAACGAUUUUAUACCCUCUCUUUUUUUUUUUUUUAAGUACUCUAUUGAAAGCCAAAGUUCCUUUGGCCAGUUAAUUUAGAAGUGAAGGAAAGAAUAAAGUUAGUCCUCGACGUCUUUUGAAAUUAGAAAUACAUUUUGAAUGCUUUAAUAGAUGCAGAGCAAACUGGCUCGAUAUCUAACUAUUUUAAGAGCUAAAAUCAUUUAAUAGAAGUUGUAGCAUUAAAAAAAAAAAAAACUGGCUUGAUAUCCAAUUUUGUUAUUGAAUAUGUCUCAUGUGAGAGUAAAAAAAAACUGGCUUGAUAUCCAAAAUUUAAAGGUAACUCCUUGAAUUUGAUUGAAAAAUUAUUGAGACGGACAAGUUUGGACCAUUGUUCGAGACUGAAACUACACAUCAGUCUUAGAAAAUUGUAAUUUUGUUGGCUUAUCAUGAUUUUGAUCGCCUCACAUUGAUUUUCCUAUGGCGUCUCUGUAGAGUGGCUAUGCUUACAUUUUUAGGUAUUUAAUUCUAAAAAUUAACUUAUUAGAUGGAAGGAACAAUUCUACCUGUAAAUCCAAGUGGCUUCCCUUUACCAACUCAUACAAGACACAACAAUAAUCUUCUUCGGAAAAAACCACCGUCGGAGGGCUAUUUUCGUUCAACAUAUAUGAGUUGUUCCGCCACCAUAUUUUAAGGGUUUGCUUCUAAUACAACUUGGGGGAGCUAGGGCUAAGAUUUCUAAGUAUCAACAUAAAAACCUCACCUAUUGGAUAGAAGGACCAAUCCUACUUAUAAGUCUAAAUGACUAAUUUUUGAGAACACAACUCAACAGACCAAUAUAAACUUUUGACGUCCCAUUUUAUUACUUUCCAGUGCUUUUACUUUUGCUGUCUAUAGCCCUACUAUUCUAUUAAGCAGAAAAUAUUUCAAGGCACUCUCGGUCCAGUAGAUAACUUUGGUAUUUAUUAUCUAUUUUCUUUCCAUUUUAUGUAUACCCCGAUCUUUACCUCUGAUUGGUUGUAGAUUCUUUUGUUGCUUUGGGGUUAGGGGAUGGUUUUCAUAACUAUUCAGUUGAUCAAUGCAGAAAAUCACCUUCAAGAAAUGAUAAAGGAUUGUUAGUUCUAUCUGGCAAACAACAUUAAUAUGAAGGAUGGUGGUUGUUCUGUUCAAGAGUUUAUAAUGACAUAAUUCUACUUUGGUCUUUUAAAAAAAGUAAUUUAGAAACGAGGAGUAUGUGAGUGAUGAUUUUUACAAAAUAAAUUACAUGCGUAGUGAUGAUUUUGGCACAUGAAAAUGAAAAAAGAAAUAUAAAUUGUGAAUAAUAAUUGAAGAACCUGCUAUUGGUAUAUUGAGUAAUCAAGGACUUCAAUAUUCGGACGAUAUAAGCAACACAAUCAAAUAUUAGUUGGAAGGCAUAGCAAAAUUAGAAUGUAGAACAAACUGGGUAUUGAUAAAUGGAUGGUUUUGGAAGAAUUGAAAAUGAUGGCAUAAGUAAACCAAAGUUUAGAGAAAAGAGAAAGAGCAUUUGAACUUUACUUGUAAGAAAAGGCAAAUAUCUUGGUUCAAGAAAAGAUAAGAGAUAUCAAACUAGCAAUAGGAAAAAGGAGGAAGGUUAAGACAGCAUCUUAACAAAAGCUAAAGAAAAGAAAAACUUAGUUCAAGCAAAGAACAAUGUGCUAAUGUCGUGUAAUUUUGUUUAAUUUCUUUUUCUUCUCACAUUUUCCAGGGCUUAAAUAAUACAAUAUACAUUUUCAAGCAAAGAACAAUAUGCAAUUGCAGUACUUCUGAGCACACAACAACAAAUAAAUAAUACAAUAUACAUAGCCAGUAAAUUAAAAAUAUAUAUAUUAUUCAAGUUUGUGGACAAUACUGUAGCCAUGGCGUCGUCGAAAUCUACUGACAGCUGAAACAAAGAAAGAAUGGAUGAAUGCUGGAUCACAGUUGAAAUUGAAGGUCUGGUAGGUGAUGUUUCCCUCUCUUUUUUUACCUAAACAAAUACAAGAAAAUCAGAAUCACAAAUGAAAAUCUGCUAUUACACUGUUCUUACUUAUUAAAAUACAGAGGUUUCUUUGUUUCUCUGCAGCAAUGUCCAUGGCUAUUAGAAACAAGAACAAUUAGACCAGCAUUUGCAAGAAUCCUUUAAGGUAUUACUGCAGAUAUAAAUCGACUGAGGAAAUGGAAAAAUUGAAUACCGAAUUAGGCAAGUUAACUGAAGAUUGAGUUAUCAUAGAAGAAUAAAACUCAUCCAAUUCAAUCCAUCAAAUUCCACAAGGAUACAACUGGAUGUCAUACUGCUGCUCCAUAUCCUCAAGAGCCCGUAGAUUUUGCCUCAACUCUGGCUGAGGCCAAUGUAAGUCCAAUUUGCAAAAGCUCUUUAUGCACCAUAGCUCUUCAGGAAGCUUUCUCAAGUAAGCACAAGGGUUGACAAUUAUGCUCCCAAGUUUUGGCAUUGCUCCAGCCCCUAUCGUCCACUCCUCUAGCAAAUAAAUUGAUUUCAGGUGCAAUACCUUGAGCUCCGGGAAACCACAAGAGCAAACACAAGCCAGUUUUCUUCCUGAAUAUGAGUUCUGCUUCAAUUUCAGCACUUGAAGGUGUGGAAGCUUGUCUAGUGUUAGCAUGGUAUCCUCCAAUAACUCAGUAUUUGAUAAGCUUAGAUGGAUCAGACUUGGAGAAGCUGGUAUUUAGACAGGGCCGUCCGAGAGAGCUACCACCUCUUGGUUUCGUUCACCAGCUUCAAGCAUUCAAGUUUGUGUAGUUCGCAUAGGCUUUUGGAAACCCCAGAACGAUAAUAACUCAAACCUCCAGAUACUAAGAGUUUGAAAAUGAGGUAGUCUGCCUGUUAAAGUAGCUCACUAUGCUGAACGAAAGAAGGAGAAAGCUAAGCUGAAGAAAAUACAGGGCAAGAGUAUUAGCUGUGCCAGCUCAACUGACAGCUCAGCAAAAUCAGUUAAAUUUUGUUACAAGCUCCCUGUGCAUUGUGCUGAAGAUUAGUUAGUUUAAUAAUGAUUAGUUUUAGAUUAGUUAAAAUGUAAUCAUGAUUAAGAUAAAUAAAUAAAUAUAUAUAUAGCUGCUGUACUGAUAGGGCAUCUCAAAAGUUCUGAAAUAAUACCUCAAUUCUAUGGCAAAAAUAAAUAAUCUCAAACAAGAACCAAUAAUCAUAUUUCGUUACUGUCAAACACAAUGCAUCUAAGCAAAACAUUGGAAGCCAACACCAGAAUACAUAUGAAUAAACAAUUAAAGAUAGAGAAAAAAGGCUUAAACCUUGGGGGAAAAAAGUGAAAAAACAUGAAAGACAAAUUACACAUGUGCAGUAACCAUCGAACUUAUCAGUGACAGCUGCAUCCAUUACAUUGCUCCAACAACACAAUGGCAAACCACCAGUUUCAAAUUGAGGAUAGCUAUCGAGAAUGAGAAAGUGUCCAAAACGUCAUAAAUAGACAUGUUCCUAUUGUGCAUAAUUUACAUUAUAGGCAAAUAUUCUUACACCAUCAAAGGCAAAACAUGACACUAACAAUUGAUCCCCCCCCAAAACCAAAAAAAAGGAAAAAACAAUACAGAAAAGAUUGAAACAGAUAAGGCUACACUGAGCACAGGAUGCCAUGAAACAUAAUCCAGGAACCAAAUUAAUAAAAAAGGAAGCCAAACCAUUAUUUAACAAUCUGUUUUGUAUUUGGGAAAGUCUGAUAAAAUCUACUUAGGGAUAAUUAGAGAACCUCAACUAUUAAUCACACCUCAUAAAUGAACUAACAUUAACCAUCUACCAUCCCCACGUCACACAAACAUUCUCUAUACUUCUGAACCUAAUCCAUCUUCAAUUGGGGUUUUUUUUUUUUUUUUUGGGUGGCGGGGGGGGGGAGCUAUCAAUUUUCUAAGCUUGCUUAGCUUCUGUGUGGGAUUGAAAUGCUGAUUUCAAAUCACUAACAGUAAAAUUGGAAGCUCAUGAAAAAACAGUUUUAUCUCAAAAUUACAUCUCGAUAUAAAUUCUCUUUUCAUUUCCUUCAACUUUCUAAUUAAGCUUAAAAAAUGUACCUUCAACCACAAAGGGGUUUAAAAUUUAAAAUAUAAAAAAUAAAUUCAGAUAACAAUAAUUAAUUUAAUUAAAAAUAUAAAUAGAGUUACAGAGAAAGAGAAAUUAGAGAAAGACCUAAUGUUGAGUCCUUUGGCGCAUGUCUCUUCAUAGGUCCGAACCAUUUCUUCGGGCGUGGGUUACGGCCGAGAUUGGAUAAUGAUGGAGGAGGAGAAGAUUAGCGAUGACGACGCCGAUGAAAUGGAAGGGUUUACCAGAGGAGUGGAUGCGAAGAGUGCAGGGACGGCCGCAGAGAGAGAGCAGCGGAGUGCGGCGACGGACGGUAGUGACCAGCGGAGGCGGAAGAUGGCGGUAUGGGCCAUUGCUUGCGCGUCGGUGAGUGUCUCGAGUGAGAGAGUGAAACCUCUACUUAAAUAAGUUCUACUUGAAAAACCGUACCAAACGGAGCUUAAAGUUAAUAGUCUCGUAUCUCCCGCAUUUGAUAUCUUAUUGGCAUCAGCGUGUUACCUAAGAUUGGGAUUCAUUAAAAUCCUCAAUGUAAUCGGUGGAACGAAUGGAUUUCUUCUGUUCACCUAUCCACCAAAAUUUCUGUAAUUAAAUUCAAAAGUCAAGAUCUAUGCUUAUUAUCUAUUCAACAGCUAAUAUUCUAAUUUAUAUUUACUUAAAUAUGAAGAGCUAUGCUUGUAAUUAACUUCAAAUGUGAUCGAAGCAGCCUUACAUCUGUAUAUUACUUAUUCCCAACCUUUUUUUUGACUUCAUAUACUUUCUUUUCAUGUUAUUUACUCUUUUUUUUCCCCUCUCUGACAAUUGAGGUAGGGGGUCAAACUUGAAAGUAUCUUAAAAUCAGACAUUUUUUUUUAAUAAUAACCUAGUUGUUUGCAUUAGAAAUGAUAUUUUUUGUGGUGCUGAUAAAGAGGUUAAUUAUGAUUCAACAAUUUAAAAUAUGAAAACAUGUGGAAGACGGCCGCAAUUAAAUUGAUUGUAUGAAAAUAUUUCAAUGAAAGUUUAAAAAUUUAGUACUUGUUAUCUUAUCGAGAGUUUUUUAAAUUAUAUUACUACUUGAACUUGACUGCUUUUGUAUUGAAUUCCUAGCGUUGACAUUGCUUCUACUCAAAAGCCAUUUAAGUUUGUGUAAGCUACCUGUAGUUUGAACAACAAUUUACUCAUGAAUUCUUGUUCAUAAUAGCAAUUUGAUUGAAAGUGCGGCUGCACUAAUUUUCUAGAUGAAUUUUUUCCUACAUGCUUGUUCUCGUAUGACCCAAAAUCCUGCUACAUCAGUUGUAUUAGAAAUUAAUCAACUGGGUUACAAUUAUGCAUCCCCACCAAUAUUUAAGCAAUUUAAUUACAGAAACAUUUCUUGAGGAAAGAAACUCAUAUCGGCACUAGGCUUUCAAUGAGGCUCAUUUUUAUGAAUCUGGAUAGCAUUAGAUAUCUCUCCGAAUAAUGGUGGGAGUAGAUCGCAGAUCUGGCUAUACUACAAAGUGUAUGUACGUUGACUCUCAAUAAAUACAAAUGAUUCUCUGAUAUUUUUUUUUUUGAUAUUAAUCACGAGAUAUCCUGAGGAGGGCCCCAACUGUGGGAGGCACCUUUAAGCCCGUACCACAACUCAGACUAGAAGUCCCCGCUCGAACCGGGAGGCACAGGUUCUCCCAACAAAGGCGACUUCCCUGCGACUCGAACUGAGGAGCAAACUCAGUCAAUGAUUCUCUGAUAUGAUUCAAAACAUCAGUGCAUGCAUCAUUUUAACUAGAGAGAAUAUUCUAAGAAUGAAAUUGAACGUGCAAUCAGCAACUAAAAUGAAGCCAGAAAUGUACACGCAUGAGGAAUUUUUCCUAGAAGAUUGAUAUUUCUUUAACUAGCAAACCAUACAAGUCCAAAGCUAACCAAACCAUACCUGCAAGUCCGGGGCUUAAAUGGAGUACUUGUAAGCAUAAAACAUUAAUCAAAACACAGUAUAGACACACACACACACCCCUCCCUACAUACAUACCAGCAAAUUCGAAAUAGAAAAAGGAGUGCAACUCACAAAACAGUCGGAGGUGGAAUUCCAGCAUAUCUCCUUCUCUCCGUAGCACUCAGAGGUAUAGUUGAAAGAUUAAACACCAUGGAAUAAUUUGAAAGGAAAAUGCCAAGAAACUGUGUAAGUGGCUAAAUUCCACAAAUAUUACAUUAUUGCUCAUUUUUAUCUCAAAAAAAUGGUACGCGUUCAUUUAGAGAAGAGUCCAAGCCCAGUAACAGGAAUAUUUUAAUUACUACCAUGACAUAAUUGAUGGUGCUUAAAUCAAUUGUUUCUUUUUUAAUUUAAAGAUUUUUUCAUUAAAAAAUAUUUUAAUAUCAAAAUGCCUUCAAUGGCAUUACUGCCGCAAGCCCAGCAACAGGAUUAAUUAAAAAGUUCAGAAUUUUUGGGCAUGGAAACUGGAAAGAGUAUUAAACAUCAGAAAGCUAAGGUUUGUUCUGUUAAAGAAUUGAUAUUGACAUAGUUUUUUUUUUGAGGAAAAAAAAAACAUAUUUGUUGACAAGUAAGGAAAUGUUUUUGUAUUUUACAAUCUGUUAUUACAUAUUUUAUCAUAUUAAAGUAAUUUUAAUAACAAAUAGAAACAUAAUAUUACAAUAAAUAAAUUAAAGUUUAAAUUAUUUUGAAUAUUAUAAAAAAUAAUGUUAAUAUUAUUAAUAGGAAGACAUUUUGUUAAUUUUAAAAUCUUUUUAAUCCAAAGGUUUAUUUAAAAUCUCUAUAAUAAAUACAAAUAUAAGAUUAAAAUAAAAAUCAUAAUUUGAAAAUUUUAAUAUUAUUUUAAAUGUUAAAUAUACUUUAAUGUUAUUAGCCUACUACGUAGAUUUUAUUAUUUAUAUUAUAUUCGUAUUGAUUAAAAUUUUUUAAAAUCAAUUUUUUAGUUAGUACAUUCAAGAGGUAUCAUAGUUAAAGAAAAGAUUUUGGUGCAACUGUUUUAAAAUUUCAGGGACUAAAUGAUAAUUUUUUUAAAUUUUAAGGAAGUUGGUAUUAUUUUUCCGACAAUUUAUUUUAUUUUGAGGGAAAUCCGAUGAGAAAUAUCAUCAGAGAACAUUAAUUUAACAUUCUUUACCUUUAUGAAAAAAGUGAAAAUCAAGAACUAUUCAAUUUUGUAUUUUUUGUUUGUAAUUCAAAAAAUGCAUCCACCAAAUCAAGAACUAUUCAAUCUUGAUUUUCCCAUUUUAUUCAUUUUCGAUGCAUCCCCCACUAUUUUUACAAAUCUCCAUCCCACAUCUACACUAUCAAACAAGUUGAUGGAAAUUGAACCCAGUAAGUUAUGUUCAUUACUGGUCAUUGUCUUUCUAUGAGCCACUUAUUUUGAGCAUUAGCGAUCUUAUAAGGAAUCAUGCCUUUUCAGGAUCGUUUUCUUUCAUUUCCUUCUUGUAGUAGUUAAUUAAAUAAAGAACGAACAGCUGAACUUGGUCUAUUUCGAGGAAGAACAAGGUUUCCAAUACUAGAGGAACUUUGAAAAAAAUUAAUUGGAAGCCUUUAUUCAUCUUUGAAGAAAAUUACCACACUUUAAAUCCUGGAUAAAAAAAAUUUUAUUCAUCUUCGGACUAUGAAUUUAUAAAAAAACAUUGUUAGGACUAAGAAAAAAAUAUUAUUUUAGAUAAGUUAUUUGUUUAUUAUUGAAUGAAAAAUUUAUCAUGAUAAAUAAAUAUUUAUUAUUUUAAAGAGAGAUUUUUUUUUUGGUUUUAAGAAGAGUUUUUUUUUGGUACAUGCACACACUAAUAAAGAAACACAAAAAGUGCUUCCUCAAGUCAAUAGUAUUUGCUUUAAUGGCUAAGGUGCAUAAUAAUGUAGCUUAGUUAGGAAAUUUGUAAUUACAUUAUGGCUCCGUUUGGUAUAACUUUUUAAUUAGAAGUAUUGUUCUUUUUAUUAACAUGUGUUUGUUUUACUUAAUAAUAAAAGUUUAGUUUACAAUUACACCGGUGUCAAAUCAGCAGAGCAUCGGCAAGAGUUUUCGAUUGUUGCAAUUUGCAAUGCACGCGGUGAGAGAAAAUGAGAAUCUUGUUUAAUUGUGAAUAAUGACAAACCUAAUCCUUUCAUUAGGAGUAAAUUAAUAAUCGUUUGUUAUAAUUGAAUAUGUAUAAAGAAAGGAAAAUUAUAUUCAUAGAUUUGACUUAUUUUUUGUUUAACGUAACUAAUCAUUCAACCAUCUUCAUUUGCCUCUGGCCAAUGCCCUUGUAGAUUAGUUGAAGCGUUGAUUUCUUAAUUCAGAUAAUUACAACGUCCUUUUCGCUAAUUAAGUAUGAUUAUGUACAUUUUCAUAUAGCAAGUGGCAUUGUAGAUCUAAACUAAGUUGCUAUUUCAAUCCGUUAAUUAAGUGAUUCUCCUCAUUGUCAUCAGUGUUAUACCCUCUGGGAAAAUAGCUCAAUUGUUUCCCUGCAUUGAUUUUCAUUGGUAAGUGAUUUCUUAUGAAAUUCUUUUGAGCUUUCCUUAUUAAAAAAGCUUGAGCUUUUAUCACCUAAUACGGAUAUCAAUUAACUUGUGAACGAUUUUGUAAUGAAACUAGGAGUUAAAUAAGAUUUUUACAUGAUGAUCAACUUGUUAAUUUUGUAUAUUUCAUAUUUAACAGGAUUUGGGCACGGAACGUUUGGAUUCUAAUAUUUAUAUAUUUAGUUUUAAUCAGUUUGACUUUCGUAAUCUUUCUCGCCUCAUCAUUAAGGGAUUAAGAAUUAGAGAAACAUUAGAAACAGGAAGAAAAUAACUUCAGAAAUAAGUAAGAGGGAAAAAAAUUUAUGAUAUUUGGUGUUGAAAUGAACUAAAAACUCGUCAGUACAACGUGUCGUUUGCAGGUUGUGAAGAUGAGUGCCAUGUCGUUUCAUUUAAGCAAUAUACCAGAACUGACAAAUUGCCAAUGUCGUUCAAGACCAUUAUAACUCACGUGCCUUACGCAUGCCUCUCUUAAGCUUAAACGGCAAAGCUAGCAGUCGUUUAAGGAAGGCUUAUUAAUAGCGCGUGAGAAGCUCGUGCCAGGUUGGUUAAAAGGCCGUUAGAUUUAGAGGGAAAUCUGGAUCUGUUACACCUGCAUCAACUGAUAUAUAAACGAGCUGGUUCUGGUGUUAGCAUGUAUGACCAAGGAGAGAGAGAUAAGGCAUCGAUACUGAGAGAAAAGCUUGACUAAGUGGUCUCUGUAUUAUGUGUGAUUUCUCUGUAACCUUGAAAGCUUAAUAAAACUGCUCUCUGUGUUGGUUUUCUCCAGUGGAUGUAGGCACCCUUCAACAGGUGCUGAACCACUUAAGCUCUGUGUGUUCUUUGCCUUUAGGUUGUGAUCUUUGAUCUGUGCAUUGUUCUUUGUUAAGUGUAAGAUUGGUUCUUGAAUCUUUGAGUCAGAGUUGGGUCUUGGGGUGAGAUUAAUCUAGUAUCUAAAGGGUUAAUCUCUCAACAUUUGGAAUGUAUCAUAAUUUUUUGUUGAGUAAAUAUGUAUGAAUAGUUUUUGGGAGUUUUAGCCAGGAGUCAUUUAUUGAAGAUGUCUAGCAAUUAAAGAUCUCUGUCUCAGUAGUUUUCCCAAUCAAAAUCAAGAAGCAAAAAAAACUUGCCAUUUUUCUACUUGAUAAUUAAUUGAAAUUUAAGAAAAUACAAUGGCAUUUCAAUUAGAAUUGGUAAUUGUUUAUCUUUUUUUCAUUGAUCAAAUUCUAAUCUUUAUGCAAUAGUUAUGAAUGAAAGAAAUAUUAUGAGAGGAGAUAGGUCAAUUGAAGCCGUACCCGCAAAUAAAAAAUAGAAAAGGAGUGCAACUAUUCAACUUUGUAGACAAUAUUGCAACCAUCCAAAGGUGAAGAUCUACGCUUAUUAUCUAUUUAACAGCUAUAUAUAUAUAUAUUUAUAUUUUUAAAUAUCAAGAGCUAUGCUUGUAAAUAAGUUCAAAAGUGAUGAGAACAGCCUUAUAUUUAUUUAUUUAAAUAUUACCCAGAAUACUGCUAUAACAAUUGUAUUUAAAUAAUAAUUGUAUUUAAAUAAAUAACUAUAUAUCUAAAUAUAUAUUUAUUUAUUUAAAUAUCAAGAGCUAUGCUUGUAAAUAAGUUCAAAUGUGAUGAGAACAGACUUAUAUUUAUUUAUUUAUUUAAAUAUGACCCAGGCUAAUUUCUCUGAAUUUUGACAGAGUAGAUUUCUAAGCUAAUGCUUGGCAGAUCUCUGGGCGAUACUACAAAGUGCAUGUACAUUGAGUCUUAAUAAAUAUAAACGAUUCUCUGAUAUGAUUCAAAACAUCACUACAUGCAUAAAUUAAUAAGAAAUGUAUAGUUGUACAUAAUUUUAUGCAUGAGGCAGUUUUUAUAGUUGUACCCUCUCUAAUGAAAUUGAAGGUGCAGCCAGCAACUAAAAUGAAGCAGAAAUGUACACGCAUGAGGCAGUUUUUCUAGAAGAUUGAUAUUUCUUUAACUAGAAAACCAUACAAGUCCACAGCUAGCCAAACCGUACCUGCAUGUGUCUAGGGCUUAAAUGGAGCACUUCUAAGCAUAAAACAGUAACUAAAACACAUACACAAACAUACAUACCAAAAAAUUCAAAAAAUAGAGAAAGGAAUACAACUAUUCAUGUUUGUAGACAAUAUUGCAACCAUGGCAUCAGUUAUAGCAAAUAUUGAAUUACAAUAUUUCCCUUGCCGAUUUUGUCUACACAAGUAAAGGGAAAUAAGAAUCAUAGAUGAAAAUCAACUUUUACAGUUCUAAUUAUUAGAUAGAUACAUAAUGAUCUAUCUUUGUUACUUUGUUUCUCUGCUGCAAUGUGCGAUCCCACUCUGUUUUGAUACUCAAAUUGAGUCUAUGUUGAGACAUAAUUUUGACAUUGGAAGCAAUCCCAAUUAGUUUGGCUUUUGUAUGACCCUUUAAGGUUUUACAAUAGAUGCAAAUCUACUGAGAAAAUGGUAAAAAAAGGUGUAUAUAAAAUGAGGCAAGUAACAGAAGUAUGAGUUAUCAGAUUAGAUUAAAAGUCACCCAAUUCAAUCUAUCAGAUUCCGUAAGGAUAUAACUGGAUGUCAUACCGCCAGUCCAUAUCCUCGAAAGUCUCUAGUCUUUGUCUCAACUCUGUCUGAGGCCAAUGUAAAUCCAAUUUGCACAAGCUCUUUAUGCACCAUAGCUCUUCUGGAAGCUUUCUCAAGUAAGCACAUGGGUUGACAAUUAAGCUUUCAAGUUUUGGCAUUGCUCUGCCCCCAUCGUCCACUCGUCUAGCCAAUACAUCGACUUCAGGUGCAAAAUCUUAAGUUCCGGAAAGCCAGCAGAGCCAACGCAGGCUAGCUUUCUUCCUAAAUACGAGUUCUGCUUCAGUUUCAGCACUUGAAGGCGUGGAAGCUUUUCCAGCAUUGGCAUGGGAUCCUCCAUUCGCUCAGUAUUUGAUAAGCUCAGUUGCAUCAUUCUUGGAGGAAAUUAGUAUUCAGACAGGACCAUCCGUGAGAGCUUGCUCUCAUUCACCAACUUCAAGCAUUCAACUUUGUGGAGUUUGCAUACGCUUUUGGAAACCCCAGAGUGAUAGCAACUCAAAUCUCCAGACACUCUAAGAGUUUGAAGAUUAGAUAGUCUGCACAAUAUAUCUGGCGUGCAACUACUAGGGUGUGAGGCUGAUAUGAAAAUAAGAUUUUUCAGAGAGCUGGAAUAAUUUUUUGGAGGUGCAGGCAGAGAGAUGGAACCAAAGUUCAGAUGCAUGAGUUUUUGCAUCUUCCAAAUAUCCUCUGGUGUUUGAUCUACGUAGCUAGAUGGCAUGUCUAGUGUUUGAAGGUUUGAAAGGGUGCAUAGCGGUGAAGGAAGACAUUUGAGCGAAGGGAUAUUCAAUUUCAAAUACUUCAAAUGGAAUAAAUUUUCUAAUCUGGGUGGAUAUUGGUCCAGGACUGCAGAACCCAUGUUCAAUACCCGAAGGUGUUUGAACAUUUUACAAAAAUUCUCGCAAUCUAUCGGAUUAAGAUGAUCGCUUUCUGAACUGUGAUUCAGAAAAAGAUUGGAGAUACAUGUCCGAAUGUUUCAAAGAAAAGAAUUCAAUCGGAUCAUCGAAAAUGAUGUACCGUUUGGCAUUUGCCAAUGAUUCAUCUUCGAAGUCAGGCGUCCGGACAAAUCCCAUCAUUGCUGCCGUCCCAAGUAACGCAGCAUAUGCAAAAGUUGGAACAUAACACGCCUUAAUUGUGCCUCCAUCUCUUCUCUUAUUUACUUGAAUGAAGCCAUGAUCGAUUAGUUCGUUCAAGUAAUGCUCGGCAGUUUCCUCACUGUUGUAUGGUAUGAAACCUUCAGCUACCCACAGCUGAUAUAAUUGCCUGGUAGAUAUCUCAAUGCCUGGAUGAAAGCUGAGGUUGUCCCUCGAUCAGUAAAUCAAACAAUUCCUCUGCCGCUUUCAAAUUCACUCUUAUCAAGCUGAAAUUGUCCCUCAAUCAAUAAGUGAGUGAAUUCGUUCCUUCGCUCUUUGAAAUCAAAACCAUUGUCUCUAGGCGGAAUUUGUUGCAACUGAUUUCUAAUAUCAAUGAUUUUACUGUGGAUUCCGACAAGAAGAGCAAUGAGUGAGAAAACAACUUGUUUGGUAACCAAAAAAGUAUUGAGAGAAAAUGUAAUGAUUCUGAGAAAUUGCUUUUAUUUCAAUUAAUCGAAUCCAGAGUAAAUGUACAGAGUUUCUUUAUAUACUAACGUAUCUACAUAGCUGAUAUUAGCUAAACUAAUUCAACCAGCUAAUCAUGCUUAACAACUUAUUAUAACUAACUAAAACUAAUAUUCACGUGUACAAGAAAUGAUGUAACCACCAGGUGCUAGCUGGCAUGCCAAGUCAUCAACUUGUAACCGUGAGCUGCAACUGUUACAAUCCUCUGCUUUGCUGACUAUCUGGCUCACAUGAGCUUCCUUAACAUCCCCUCUCAAGCUCAAGGGUCUGUUAACUACAUUGAGCUUGGAACGAAAAUAGCUAAAUUUUGGAAAAGAUAGAGGCUUAGUAAGAACAUCUGCCACUUGUUCUUCAGUAGGAAUAUAUCUAAUCUCUAACUCUUUGUUCAGAACCUUAUCUCUAAUGUAAUGAACAUCCAGCUCUAUAUGUUUGGUCUUGGAGUGGAAUAUUGGAUUUUUAGCUAGAUCACCUGCACUCUGAUUGUCACACCAGAGAAUAGGAGUUGGCAACUUGAUAAUUUUUAGCUCAGAAAACAAAGAUUGCAGCCAUGUAAGUUCAGAACUUGCUGCUGAUAAGGCUCGAUAUUCACUUUCUGUGCUAGACUUUGCCACAAUAGCUUGCUUUUUCGAAGACCAGGAAAUGAGAUUAUUACCAAGGAAAAUGUAGUAAGCUCCAAUGGAUUUCCUGUCAUCAGUGUCACAUGCCCAAUCAGCAUCUGAGUAUCCUGUCAACCCUAUUGUUUCCAAGGUUCCCUCUUGCUGAAUAUAGAGGCCAUAUGUAAUAGUUGCUUGAAGGUAUCUCAACACCUUUUUGCAGGCUAACCAAUGUUGGAGAGUUGGACCACUUAGAUACUGGCUAAGUUUAUGCACUGAGUAAGCAAUGUCUGGUCUAGUUAGAACCAAGUAUUGAAGCCCUCCAACUAUACUUCUGUAAAGAGUUGGAUUUUCAAAUUCUACACCCAAUGAGCCUUUAGCUAUUUUUUCUAAUUUGUAACCAGUGCUGAAAGGAGUUUCAGUUUCUUUACAGUUCUGCAUUGAGGCCUUGGUCAACAAAUCCUUGAUGUAUUUAGUUUGGGAGAGGUGCAUGCCAUGAUCUGUGUAGCUGACUUCUAUACCAAGGAAAUAUGAUACCAGGCCCAAGUCUUUUAAGGCAAAAGCUUUACUCAGCUUUGUGAUGAAUGCCUCCAGCAAGACUGAAUCUGGACCUGUAACUAAUAUAUCAUCUACAUAGAUCAAGACAAGGAUUAUGCCUUUAGUGUCAUGCUUGAUAAACAAUGAAGUGUCAGCCUUAGAAUUUGUGAAAUUCCAAUCUGUAAGACAGCCCUUAAGCUUAUCAUACCAGGCCCUUGGUGCCUGUUUUAAACCAUAAAGAGCUUUGUUUAGCUUACAGAUGUAUCCUCCCUCUGAAACAAAACCCUCUGGUUGUUGCAUGUACACAUCUUCAGUAAGAUCCCCAUUGAGAAAUGCAUUGUUGAUAUCUAUUUGUCUAACAUUCCAGCCUUGCAUAACUGCCAAACUCAAUAUAACUCUGACAGUUGAAGACUUGACUACAGGACUAUAAGUUUAUGAAUAGUCAACCCCAGCUGUCUGAUGGAAUCCUUUAGCAACAAGCCGAGCUUUAUGCUUAGAUACUGAGCCAUCUAAAUUAUACUUUGUUCUGAAGACCCAUUUGCAGCCAACCAGUUUAUGAGUAGGAUCCAUUGAAACUAGAUUCCAGGUUUUGUUUCUGAUAAGUGCAUCAUAUUCCAGUUGCAUUUUAUCUUUCCAUUUAGGAUCAGCUAAAGCUUCACCAACAUUAGAAGGUUCUAAACUGUUGUGUGCUGUCAAAAAUGCCUUAGGUUUGAAUAUACCAGCUUUAGCUCUGGUAGUCAUGGGAUGGACAGAGAUAGUAGGAUUGGAAAGUGAUAAAGAUGGUCUGGAAGGUGAUGUGUGUAAAGAAGCUUGAAAUGGUAUAGGAAGUUCUGGAGAAUUUUGAUGGAUGAUAGGUGAAGAUAUAGUGUUUGAAGUUGCUACUGGAGAUGUUGUGGGAAUGACAGGGGAGGUUAUGGUAUUAGUGGAUAAAAUAGAAUGAGUAGAAGAGGAAGGUAACAAGAUAUUGUGAUGAGAACUAGAAUUGUUAGAAUCAGUAUCUGCAGCAACAGCUUCAAAAGGUUUUAGAUUGCUAUUAGGAACUGAAACAUUAUAAAUAAAAACUUAUUAAAACCUAAUUUAUUUGGGAACCACAUAUUAAAACCUAAUUUAUUUGGGAACCACAUAUUAUUGGUCAGUAGUAUUUCUCAACUUAGCAAGUUAUUUCUAAUUUGUCCCUCUCUAUUAUUGGUUCUCUUAAAGCCAAUAGUGUCGCAUUUGAUAUCUUGCCAUUACCGUUGGCAUUAGCAUGUUACCUGAAAUUGGGAUUCAUUGAAAUCCUCAAUGUAAUCGGUGGAACGAAUGGAUUUCUUCUAUUCAUAAUUUGAUGAUUUUAAUUGAACUAGGAGAUAAAGUAAAAGAUAAAUGGUUGGUUUACUCCAAUUUCUGAAGUGCUUGUAUCUUUUUGGUUGAAUUCGUGCAGUUAAAUAAUCUCUACCAACAUAUGUAUGUAUGUAUGAAAUUGGAGUAACCAGACCUUUUCAAGAGUUAAAUAAUCUCUACCAACAUUGUAGAUUGCCCGAUAAAGUUAACUGUGUUACCCAGCUCCAUGCAUAUACAUUAAAUGCAUGUUUGGGUAGUUUUAUAAAAUGAUAACAGCACGUCAAAACUUGAUGAGUUAUAUUGUCAUAUUCGACAUUUUUAAAUUGAAAAAUUAGCAAGCAAUCUUCAGUGAACAUUACAAUUUUGUUCGCUCUACACCCCAUCAAUAUUUAAGCAAUCUACAGAUCAUUACUUGAGGAAAGAAACUCUUUGCGCCACUAGGCUUUUAACGAGGCUCAUUUCUAUGAAUCGGGAUAGCAUUAGAUAUCUCUCCGAAUACUGGUGGGAGUAGAUUGCAGAUCUCUGGGCUAUACUGCAAAGUGUAUGUACGUUGAUUGUCUGAUAUGAUUCAAAACAUCAGUCCAUGCAUCAUUUUAAUGAGAAAGAAUAUUCUGAGAUUAUUUAUGCAUCACCAUUUGUAGUUGUACUGACUAAUGAAAUUAAAGGUGCAAUCAGCAACUAAAAUGAAGCCAGAAAGACACGCAUGAGGCAGUUUUCCUAGAAGAUUUGAUAUUUCUUUGACUAGCAAACCAUACGAGUCCAAAGCUAGCCAAACCAUCCCUGCAAGUCCAGGGCUUAAAUGGAGUACAUCUAAGCAUAAAACAUUAAUCAAAACACAAUACGCACACACAGACCCCUACAUACAUACCAGCAAAUUCAAAAUAGAAAAAGGAGUGCAACUAUUCAAGUUUGUAGACAAUAUUGCAGCCAUGGCAUAUCAAAGCAAAUCCUUGAAAUGUGCUAAACAGAACAAUGCCCUGUCUCAUGAAUCGACGCUCAAUUACAAUUGAAAUUGAAAGUCCGGCUGGUGUUGUUUCCCUCUCCAGUUUUGCCUACAUAAGUAAAGGGAAAUAAGAAUCAUAAAUGAAAAUAUGCUUUGACAGUUCUUAUUAGAUAUAUAUAAAGGGAUCUUUCUUUGUUUCUCUGCUGCGAUGUGUGGUUAUCCCACUGUUUUUCCACUCAAGCUGAGUCUACGUUGAGACAUAAUUUUGACAUCAGAAGAUACCUCAAUUAGUUUGGCACUUUUACGAUAAACAUAAAUCUACUAAGAAAGUGCGGAAAAAAAGAAAAUGCAUAUAAAAGUAUGAUUUAUCAGAUAAGAUUAAAACUCACCCAAUUAAAUCCGUCAGAUUCCAUAAGGAUAUAACUGGAUGUCAUACCGCCGCUCCAUAUCCUCGAAAGUCCGUAGUCUUUGUCUCAGCUCUGUCUGAGGCCAAUGUAAAUCCAAUUUGCGCAAGCUCUUUAUGCACCACAGCUCUUCUGGAAGCUUUCUCAGGUAAGCACAUGGGUUGACAAUUAAGCUUUCAAGUUUUGGCAUUGCUCCUCUCCCCAUCGUCCACUCAUCUAGCCAAUACAUUGAUUUCAGGUGCAAAACCUUAAGCUUCGGAAAGCCACCAGAGCCGACACAGGCCAGCUUUCUUCCUAAAUACGAGUUCUGCUUCAGUUUCAGCACUUGAAGGUGCGGAAGCUUUUCUAGCGUUGGCAUGGGAUCCUCCAUUAGCUCAGUAUUUGAUAAGCUCAGUUGGGUCAGACUUGGAGGAAAUUGGUAUUCAGACAGGACCAUCCGUGAGAGCUUGCUUUCAUUCACCAGCUUCAAGCAUUCAAGUUUCUGCAGUUCGCAUAGGCUUUUGGAAGCCCCAAAAUGAUAGCAAGUCAAAUCUCCAGAUAUCCUUAGAGUUUGAAUAUUUGGUACUCUGCCCAAUAUAUCUGGAAUGCAACUACUAGGGUGCAAGGCUGAUAUGAAAAUGAGAUUUUUCAGGGAGCUGCAAUAAUUAUUUGGAGGUGCAGGCAGAGUGAUGGAACCGAAGUUUAGAUGCCUGAGUUUUUGCAUCAUCCAAAUAUCCUCUGAUGACUGAUCUAUGUAGCUAGAUGGCAUUUCUAGUGCUUGAAGGUUUAAAAGGGUGCAUAGCAGCGAAGGAAGGCAUUUGAGCGAAGGGAUAUUCAAUUUCAAGUACUUCAAAAAAUAUAAAUUUUCUAAUCCGGGUGGAAAUUGGUCGAGAACUGCGGAACCCAAGUUCAGUACCCGAAGGUGUUUGAACUUUUUACAAAAGUUCUCGCAAUCUAUCAGAGCGAGAUGAUCGCUUCGUGAACUGUGAAGCAGAAAAGAAUGGAUAUACUUGUCAGAAUAUUCUGGAGGAAAGAACUUAAUCAGACGAUCCAAAAUGAGAUACCGUUUGACAUUUGCCAGUGGUUCCUCUUUCAUGUCAGAUAUCCGGACAAAUUCCGUCUUGUCCGCCACCAAAUACAGUGAAAUAAAUUCAAAACUUGGAACAUAACACGCUUUGAUUGUGCCGUUGGCUCUUCUCUUACUCACUUGAAUGAAGUCGCGGUGGAUUAGUUCUUUUAACCCUCAGCUAUCCACAACUGACAUAAUUGCGUGGUAGAUAUCUCAAUGCCGGGGCGGAAGACACACAAAUAGAUGCAGCAGACUUUCAAGUAAAAAGGUAACUCCCCCACAGAACAAGUUCGACUGAAAACUGUCAAAUUUAUUUUUUCAUUCAUAUAAUUUUCUGAUGGCGCACUUCCAUAGUGUAGGACGAAAAAUUGCCAGGCCUCAUGCUCUAAUCUGAUCAAUGGUCCUUCAAUGAGCACUGAAUCAAGCCGAAUCUUCUCUCCGUUUUCCAUUUCCAACGACGUAAGGAGUUCUGGAUCAGUGAAAUAUCAAUACUCUGCUUCCAUUCCGAUUAUCAGGAAGAACUUCUUCAAGAUCAUCCCAUAUCUCAAUGUUAUCGCAGACAUCAUCAAGCACAAUAAAGUACUUCUUGUUUGUUAGGUAAUCUUGAAGAAUAGAUUUCUUCAAUUGAUAAUCUUCACCGAUAAUUACACUAACCCGAGAUGGAGGCAUCACGGACUUGAUUAUGUCAUCCAAUAUCUUGCCAAAAUCGUAGAGUGAAGAAACCCUGACCCAAGCAAAACCGUCAAAAUAGAACUUGACGUGAUUAUUAUUGUAAGUAUCUGCAGCAAAAGCAGUCUUAUCGAUGCCACGGCUGUCGAGAAUUGCAACCACUGCAAGCCGAGGAUGUCCUUCUAUCAAUAAAUCAAACAACUCCUCUCUGCCCCUUGCAAAUUCAUUGAUAUCAAGCCGAGGUUGUCCCUCACUCAAUAGGCGAAUGGUUUUGUUACAUUGUUCAGUGAUAUCAAAAUCAUUGUCGCCGGGUGGAAGUUGUUGCAUCCGAUUUCUAAUAUCAAUGAUUUCACUGUUGAGUCCAUCAAGAAGAGUCGUAUUAGUACUGCUGUCACUUUCGUUUUCACUGUUUUGCUGCUGCAUGAUUUUGAUGAAGAAUGUGUCAAUGGCUUCCUCAGAUUCACGGACAAAGUCAUUGAUGUCGUUCAGAAUUUCCAGAAUGUCUGCCCUUUUAACAUCUUCUUCAUCGCUUUUUUCUAAGUCCAACAGUUGCAAAGAAGGUAAAGAUAUUUCGGUGUCAUCGAAUUCUUCUCUAAUGAGUUGAAACAAAUCCGAGCCAUGUCAGAGUCAUAGUUUCCCAGCAGUGGUAACAAUAAUUUUGGACUCCGUAAGAAGGUUUUGAAAAAGUGGGGUUAAAUUUGUUGAAUCAGGCAGCGUUAACGGGUCUUCUUCACCUGCUAACACCCUUUUCAACCUCUCACAAAAUAGUCGGAGGUGGACGUCCAGCAUAUCUCAUUCUCUCCGUAGCACCCAGACGUAUUGUUAUUUGCUCCAACAAAUGUUAAAAGGAUUGGUUCUAUCUCAAAGUGGUUUGUGGUGUAAAAUUAAACACUAUGGGAGAAUUUGAAAGGAAGAUGCCAAGAAACCGUGUAAGUGGCUAAUUUCCACAAAUAUGACAUUAUUGCUCAUUUUUAACUCAAAAAAAUGAUAUGCGUUCAUUUAGAGAAAAGUCCAAGACGCUUGCCUUUUAAAAAGAACAGGUAUCCCUAUGCAACCUUUAUCUUAUUUAAUUACUACCAUAUGGUACUUAAAUCUAUUGUUUCUUUUUUAAUUUAAAGAAUUUUUCAUUAAAAAACUAUUUUAAUAUCAAAAUGCCUUCAAUGGCAUAGCUGCCGCAAGCCCAGUAUGAAUUAACAGGAUGAAUUAAAAAUUUUAGAAUUUUUGGGCAUGGAAAGAGUAAUAUUAAACAUUAGAAAGCUAAGCUUGUUCUGUUAAAGAAUUGAUAUUGACAUAAUUUUAUUUUGGUUUUCGGGGAAAAAAAUUAUUCGUUGACAAGCAAGAAACAUUUUUAAUUUUUAAAAUUUAUUAUGCAUAUUUUAUCAUAGUAAAGUAAUUUUAAUAAUAAAUAGAAACAUAAUAUUACAGUAAAUAAAUUAAAGUUUAAAUUAUUUUGAAUGUUAUAAAAAAUAAUUUUAAUAUUAUUAAUAGAAGACAUUUUCUUAAUUUUAAAAUCUUUUUAACCCAAAGGUUUAUUUAAAAUCUUUCUAAUAAAUACAAAUAUAAAAUUAAAAUAAAUAUCAAAAUUUGAAAUUUUUAAUAUUAAAAUUACUUUAAUGUUGUUAGUGACUGUUCGGUACAGCUUAUUUAAUGGCUAUAAGUGCUUAUUUAAUGUCAUAAUGUCAUGGGAUGAGUGUUUUGCACAGCAAAUCCAUGCGGUACUUAGACAACUUUGCCGAAUGUUGCUAAGUAAGCCUUGAGCUUCUCGAACUAGCUAAGCCUAGAGGUUUUCGAAGAGCUAGAGAGAAGAGAGCAAUGAAGCCGAAUGAAGAGAAUUGUAUUACUAACAAGAGAGAUUACAAGAGAGCUUACAAGUGUUUGAGUUGCUUGUACUAAGCUUGUUGCUCAAAUGUCUAAUGCCAUCCCAUAUUUAUAGGGGAGGCUUGCCAAGCUCUAGAGAUUCUAGAGAAUUCUACCAUUUAUAUGUGCCGGAAUUCUAUGGAGUAUUCUAGAGUAUUUACAAGCUCAAAUGCCUUUUAAAAAGAAUAUGUAUACAAUGGCAAUCCAUACUUUAUAAAAUUGAUGGUGAUUACAAAGAAAAAUUGUUUAAAAUAGAUUUAAUGCACAAAUAUGAUGACUUUUGGCAAAAAUUAGUUUCGGAAAUGUUGGGAUGAAAACCAUAUUAAUUGAGAAUUAAAAUUACUUAAUAAAAUUACUUAACUACCAUCUAAUAGAUGAAAACCAUAUCAAUUGAGACUUAAAUUAAGAUUUAAAUGUUGAAAUAUCUAGCAUUACUCACAAUAACCAAUUCAAAUUAUGACUAUCAUGUAGAAGCAAAUGUUUAUGCUUGGGUUUUUUACUUCUUGAAUUUGAUUGGAAAAUUUUCUGAGAUAGAGAAGUGUUUUGGAUAAGCUUUACGGGAUUGAAACCACAAAUUGGUAGAGGAAAUUAAUUUUGGACAAAUUUUUCUUAUAUUGUAGGACCUUCUAGUUGGAGUAGUGAUGCCUUUGUCUUCAUUUUUGGUUCCUUUUGUGUCGGCAGCCCCUUACUAUUCUCUUGACCCUGAGUUUGAGAUAGAAAUUUAUCAACCUCCAACCCCACAUCCACAAACAAGUUGAUUGAAACAAUUACUCUUUUAAUUAAGAGGACCCAAAUGAUUUAGGUUUCAGUUCUUAUCAUUUGUCUAUUAUUUCUUUGAAACAUUUAUUUUGAGCGUUACUGAUCUUAAUUAUCUGUAUUUCUCCAAUUAUUGAAGAAUUUCAAGUGGCCACUUUUUCUCCUUUUUAUAUAUGUUUAUUUUUUGGAGUGAUCAAACGGGUGCAAAAUCAAGUAUUCGCUGGUCUGUAGUUUAGCCAACGAUGGCUGAUCCACACAGUUGAUUAUAUGAUACUAUUAGCUCUCAAAAUCUUUCUUAUUUGAGAACAUAAAUUGCCCAUUGAAGUUAAACUAUGUUACCCAGCUCCAUGCACAUACAUUAAAUGUUUAGGUAGUUUUACAAAAUGAUAACAGCAUGCCAAAACUUGAUGUUGUCAUAUUCGACAUUUCAAAUUGAAAUAUAUGCAAGCAAUCUUCAGUGAACAUUACGUGUUUAUUGAAUAAUUUAAAUGGCCAGUAAAUCAACAGUCCGUGAGUUUUAAAUCUAUUAUGACUUAAUGUAUCUUUCUGUAUUUGUACACGUGUUAUAUUAUCAUAGUUUAAAAUUUUAAUAUUAUUUUAAAUGUUAAAAAUACUUUAAUGCUAUUAGUCUACUACACAGGUUAUAUUAUUUAUAUUAUAUUUGUAUUAAUUAAAACUUUUAAUGUCAAUUUUCUAAUUACUAUAUUGAAAAGGUAUUAUGGUUAAGAAAAAGUUUUGGCAUUUCUUCUUGAAAAUUUGAGGGUUUUCCAAAUUCUAAGGGUAUAGGUUUGAAAAUUUAACGAUCUUUAACUUAAUGAAACAAAAGAGGGAAAUCAAGAACUAUUCAAUUUUGUAUUUUUUGUUUGUAAUUCAAAAAAUACAUCCACCAAACAAGUUUUACGCAUUAAUGCUGUCAUAAAACGAAAAACAGUUUGCCAAAAAAUGGUACCAAACAUGUCCUUAAUGUCUCACAUGAUUUCUUAGUAAGUCCAUAUUAGAUAUAUUUAUACAUUUUAGGUAUUUUAGUUAUAAAAGAAGUUGGACCUCCCCCUGUUUAUAAAAAAUAACUUUAUUUCGAGAUUACCACUAAACUCUUACAUAGAAUUAGUGUAAUGUUAAGAGAGAGUAACACAGUUUUCCAUUACCAUCUUUGAAAAUAGAGAGAUAUGGAUGCGUGCAUUUAAGAGUUACCGUGAAAAUCAUACAAUUCAAUUUCCUGACAUAUAUAUUCAUGGACCAGCACCGAUAUUCUCACACCAAUGAGCACCACAGUUAGCACAAAACGGUUCGUUUUGUGCUAACUAUAAAAGAUUUAACUGUAGCUUGAAAACGCAGACUCAUCUUGCUCAAACGCAGACCACACACGCGCUCGAGUUUCUAAAACGCAAACGCAAACGCAAACUACACACACACUCAUCUUACUGGACCACAACACUCUCUCUCACCGUGGGUCUCUCCACAUUUGGCUUGGCUGUCAGUUGUUUCUCUCCCAACCCCGUGGAUUGCAUUCUCACGGCACUUCUGGAAUUUGAGACUUAGCUGCAGCUUCACUCUCUCGGCUGUCGGAAUUGAUUUGUGGAGGUAAUUUAUGCAAACGCAAACCACACACACACUCAUCUCAGUUGACCACAACACUCUCGCUCGCCGUGGGUCUCUCCACAUUUGGCUUGGCUGUCAGUUGUUUCUCUCUCCACCCCGUGGAUUGCAUUCUCACGACACUACUGGAAUUUGACACCUAGCUGCAGCUUCACUCUCUCGUUAUGAAUUUAUGUUAAUUUUGCUGUCUUCAGAACUGCCUGUUGUGGUCGAGUACAAGAUUGCGGAGAUGGGUUAUGUUAGAUUCUACUUGACACCAAGAUAGAAGAAGAUGAGGAUGAGACCAAGCCUCUAGCUUAAGUGUCAUUUGGUACAUAUGCUAUGGCAUUUUGUUGAAUCGAGUUACUCCUACAUUUUAAGUUUGCUUUUAGAAUAUUUCUCGUAAAUUUUCAUGUUGAAAAACCAAUCAUUUGUAGUUAAGUAGAUUGAUAAGAAUUCGUUUCUUGUGCUUGGUUUUUUAUCCUACUGUUGCACAUGGCCAGACAGCUGGUUGCACAUCAGAUUCAAGAGCUGUAAAUUUUGAGGCUGAGGAAUCUCAGCUGGGAUUUCAUGUGAUAACAUAUUAUCAGAUAGAUCCAGCAACUGCAAUGAAGUAAUGUUGCCAAUUUCCGCAGGAAGCUUGCCUUGAAAGUUGUUCUGAUACAAAAACAUUAUCUCCAAUAGCUCAAGCCUCCCAAGUUCAGCUGGAAUCUCCCCACCAAGAUUACCAACGGCCAAAUCAAGAUACUUCAGGUUGGUAAGAUUCCCAAAUUCCACUGGGAUUUCACCUUCAAAUUCAUUGUAUCCAAGAAUCAUAGUCUCCAUGGAUGAAAGUUGCCCAAGCUCUCGCGGUAUCUUGCCAGUGAGAUUAUUCCCAGAUAGAUUGAUAAGAAUUCGUUUCUUGUGCUUGGUUUUUUAUCCUACUGUUGUACAUGUAAUUGAUUCAUUUGUAAUCUUUGUUGCUUUCAAAGGUAGGCUUCAAUUGAGUUGAAACUUUAAAAAAUUUAUAAAAAAUGAACCGCAAAUAAAAGAUAGCAUCAUAUUGGGUGACAAAAUGUUCUCGAGGAUGAUCCUGAUUAAUGCUGUGUAUUUCGCAAUGUAAUUACUUGCUGAUCAAUUUAAUUGAAUUGAUUAACACAUUGGUUUGAGUUUUGAUACUGCUGCUCUGUUUUUGGGUUAUUUGAAGAUCGCAUUUUUGCAGGAACUGGUAAAUUGGACACGUUAACAAAAACUUCUCACGUAUUACUGAAAUAAUAACUGUUAUAUUUCAGCCCUUAUGCACAGAACACAAUGGUUGCAAGCAAAUCAACUCAUAACUUACACAAUGGUUGCAAGCAAAUCAAUUCAUAACUUGUAAAUAAAUAAACCCCAAAAAAUUGGGCAUUAAUUUCCAUUUUCCAGCAUAUAACAAUUUCUAGCAGCAAGUUUUAACAGCAGAUAACUUCCGACAACAACUCAUCCCAAAAUCAGCAACUCAUAACUCACAACACAAUAGCAUUUUGCUAAUUUCCAAUAGCAAGAUGCGUGAGAGAGACCCACGACGAGAGAAAGCCGAAGGAGAGAGCAGCGAGAUGCGCGAGAGGCCAGAUGAGAGAGACCCACGGUGAGAGAGAGAGCCACAGCCGAAGAGUGACCCACGCUCAAGAGAGAGAGCCACAGCCGAAUAGAGACCCACUCUUGAGAGAGAGAGAGAAAACCAAAGGAGAGAGCAAUCCCACGAUCCGUUUUGUGAGGCGAGUGUGUGAGGAGAGUGUGUUAGUUUUGAAGCUACAGUAUUUUCUUUUAGAGUUAGCACAAAACGAUGGUGCUAACUGCUAAGCGUGGUGCGUUUCUCAUUUUCCAUUCAUGGCCGUAUGCCAAAAGAAUAAAUAGACAGAAAGUAAAUUUACAGUCCUCACUUCCUCACAAUUGUUAACGUGAAGAUGCAUUACAACCGUGAACUGUCACUACUUUAGCCUUUUUUUUUUUUUCAAUUAUGGUGUGAUGGAGACAUUAAGGAUGAGCAUAAAAGUUAAAGAUGACUCAUUUUCUUUUUAAAGUGCUCUGCUGAAAGCCAAACUUCCUUUGGCUAAUUAAUUUAGAAGUAAAGCAGAGAAUAAAGUCUUAGAUGCCUUCUGAAAUUAGAAAUACAUUUUAUAUGCUUUAAUUAUGAUUAUUUGGUAGACUAAAGACCUAAAAGAUAUGUCAAAAGUAUAAAACAGAGCGAUUAAAGAAAAAAAGAAAAAAAAAAAACAGAGUAUUUGUGACGUAGAAUAACAAUUGGUAAAUAAAUCCUAAAUAUUUGAGUUGUUUAAAGCAAAUAUAACAGAGACGGUAAGAGAGAUGCAGAAACAGAAAACUAUUAGCCCUCUAUAUUCAUUUUCGAUGCUUUUCAAUCGAGAUUCUUUUAAUUCUUCUGGUGUCUGCAGCCCCGGCUCCUCUUAUAGAUCUCCAUCCCACAUCUGCACUACGAACAAGUUGAUUAAAGUUAAAUAAUGUUGGAGAUGUGGGGUGAGCCGUCAAUUUGGUAAAAAAUAUUAUGUAUAAUAUUGUUAAUAAUAUAAAAUAUAUAAUAAUAAUUACAAAGAAUCAUAAAUUAGAAAAAUUAAUUAUUUUACAAUCUAUUUCUUAAGUAAGAUAGAUCUCGUAAUAAGUUAAGUUAUAAUGUAAAAAAUAUUUUCAAUUUAUAAUCAUUUAAGAAGUCAUUUAACAAUAAAAUUUUUCUUUUUUUGAUCAAUUGGUCAUGCUACAGAGUAUCAUCUAUAUUCGUAGUGAUAUUAUUAUUACUCCGUAUUCUCAAAAAACCCGAUUUAACAUUUAGAAAAAGUUCCUACCUUUUAAAAAGAACAUGUAUGCAACAGCUACCCAUACUUUAUCUUACCACGACAAAACUAAUAGGGACUAAAUCAAAUUUCUCGAAUAAAGCAAAAUUUCUUAAAAUUAAUUUAAUAUACAAAUAUGAUGACUUUUUGCAAAAAUUAGUUUUGGAAAAUUAGUGACAGAAAAUAGUAACGAUUAUUAUUUAGAUGUGUAAAUAGCCUAAACAUGAUCCCUAGUACCAAUAUCCACGUGCAUCUUAACAUCUUUCGUCAUAUUCUUUCAUUCAUGGCCACUGGUUCAAGAUUUGAAUUUGAUCAUUAAAUCAUGUUCAAUAAUAUUAGAGAUUCCAACAAUUGAGCACCAACUUAAAUCCCAAUGCUAUGUGUCAUUAACAAAUGUUGUGUCAUUUAUAAUUAUUGAAUGAAUAAUUCGUUAAUUUAUUGAUAAACAAAAAUUUAUUAAUUUAAAGAGAGAUUUUUUUUUUUGGUUUUAAGAAGAGUUUUGCUGGUACAUGUACAUACUUAUAAAGAAAUAAACUUGUAAUUAUACUAUAUCUUUCUUUCUUUGUUUAUUUUGGUGGGAUAUUGUGAUAAAUCAUUGGAUUAAAAUGCAUUUAAAAAUAAAACUUGUUAAAAUCUAAUUUAUUUGGAAAACGCAUAUUAUUUGUCAGUCGUACUUCUCAACUUAGCAAGUUAUUUCUAACUUGUCAGUCUCUAUUGGUUCUCUAAAAGCUAAUAGUCUCGAAUCUCCCGGAUUUGAUAUCUUGCCAUUACUGUUGGCAUUAACAUGUUACCUGAGAAAUGAUAUUUUUUGUGGUGUUGAUAAAGAGGUUAAAUAUGAUUCAACAAUUUAAAAUAUGAAAACAUAUGGAAGACGGCCGCAAUUAAAUUGAUUGUAUGAAAAUAUUUCAAUGAAAUUUUAAAAAUUUGGUACUUGUUAUCUUAUCGAGAGUUUUUUUAAAUUAUAUUACUACUUGAACUUAACUGCUUUUGUAUUGAAUUCCUAGCGUUGCCAUUGCUUCUACUCAAAAGCCAUUUAAGUUUGUGUAAGCUACGUAUAGUUUGAACAACAAUUUACUCAUGAAUUGUUGUUCACAAUAGCAAGUCGGGGGUUUAAAUGGAGUACUUCUAAGCAUAAAACAUUGAUUAAAACAGAAUACACACAUACAUACCAGCAAAUUCAAAAUAGCAAAAGGAGUGCAAAAGUUCAAAUUUGUAGACAACAUUGCAACCAUGGCAUGUUUAUAGCAAAUCCUCGAAAUCUGCUAAAUAAAACAAUGCCCUGUCUCAUGAAUCAAUGCUGAAUUAAAAUUGAAACUGAAAGUCUGGCUGGCGUUGUUUCCCUCUCCAAUUUUGCCUACAUAAGUGAAAAUAAGAAUAAUAAAUGAAAAUCUGCUUUUACGGUUCUUAUUAGAUAGAUAAAAGGGGGAUCUUUCUUUGUUUCUCUGCUGCAAAGUGUGGCUAUCCCACUCUGUUUUGCCACCCAAGCUGAGUCUAUGUUGAGACAUAAUUUUGACAUCAGAAGCAAUCUCAAUUAGUUUGGCACUUUUAUGACCUCCUUGAAGGUUUUACGAUAAACAUAAAUCUACUGAGAAAGUGAGAAAAAAAAAGAAAAUGCAUAUAAAAAUAUGAGUUAUCAGAUAAGAUUAAACUUCACCCAAUUCAAUCCAUCAGAUUCCGUAAGGAUAUAACUGGAUUUCAUACCGCCACUCCAUAUCCUCGAAAGUCCGUAGUCCUUGUCUCAACUGUGUCUGGGGCCAGUGUAAGUCCAAUUUGCGCAAGCUCUUUAUGCACCACAGCUCUUCUGGAAGCUUUCUCAAGUAAGCACAUGGGUUGACAAUUAAGCUUUCAAGUUUGGGCAUUGCUCCAGCCCCCAUCGUCCACUCAUCUAGCCAAUACAUUGAUUUGAGGUGCAAAACCUUAAGUUCGGGAAAGCUACUCAAGCCAACACAAGCAAGCUUUCUUCCUAAAUACGAGUUCUGCUUCAGUUUCAGCACUCGAAGGCGUGGAAGAUUUUCCAGAAUUGGCAUGGGAUCCUCCAUUAACUCAGUAUUUGAUAAGCUCAGUUGGAUCAGACUUGGGGGAAAUUGGUAUUCAGACAGGACCAUCCGUGAGGGCUUGCUCUCAUUCACCAGCUUCAAGCAUUCAAGUUUGUGGAGUUCGCAAAGGCUUUUGGAAACCCCAGAUUGAUAGUAACUCAAAUCUCCAGAUAUCCGAAGAGUCUGAACACUAGGUAGUCUGCCCAAUAUAUCAGGAGUACAACUACUAGGGUUUAAAGCUGAUAUGAAAAUGAGAUUUUUCAGAGAGCUAGAAUAAUUUUUUGGAGGUGCGGGCAGAGUGAUAGAACCAAAGUUUAGAUGCAUGAGUUUUUGCAUCAUCCAAAUAUCCUCUGGUGACUGAUCUAUGUAGCUAGAUGGCAUUUCUAGUGUUUCAAGGUUUAAAAGGGUGCAUAGCAGUGAAGGAAGGCAUUUGAGCGAAGGGAUAUUCAAUUUCAAAUACUUCAAAAGAUAUAAAUUUUCUAAUCCGGGUGGAUAUUGGUCCAGGACUGCAGAACCCAAAUUCAAUACCCGAAGGUGUUUGAACUUUUUACAAAAAUUCUCGCAAUCUUUCGGAUUAAGAUGAUCGCUUGCCGAACUGUGAUUCAGAAAAGAUUGGAGAUACAUGUCAGAAUGUUCUAAAGAUAAAAACCCAGUCAGAUCUUCGGCAAUGACGCACCGUUUAACGUUUGCCACUGGCUCCUCUUCCCCGUCAUGCAUCAAGACAAAUUCCGUCUUCUUUGCCACAAAAUACAAUGAAGUAUAUACAAAACUUGGAACAUAACACGCUUUAAUUGUGCCUCCGGCGCUUCUCUUACUCACUUGAAUGAAGCCGCGACGGAUUAGUUCUUUCAUGUAAUGUUCGGCAGUUUCUUCACCGUUGUAUGGUAUGAAACCUUCAGCUACCCACAACUGAUAUAAUUGCUCCGUAGAUAUCUCAAUACUUGGAAGGAAGACACACAAAUAGAUGAAGCAGACUUUCAAGUGAAAAGGUAACUCCAUCACAGAAAAAAUUUGUCUCCAAACUGUCGGAAUCGCUUCGCCUUGAAGAUAAUUUUCUAAUGGCAUACUUCCAUAGUGUAGGAUGAAAAAUUGCCAGGCUUCAUGCUUUAAUCUGAUCAAUGGUCCUCCAAAGAGCACUGAAUCACGCCGAAUCUUCUCUCCGUUUUCCAUUUCUAACGACGCAAGGAGGUGUGGAUCACUGACCAACAUCAAUACUCUGCUUCCAUUCUGAUUAUCAGGAAGAACUUCUUCAAGAUCACUCCAUAUCUCACUGUCAUCGAAGACAUCAUCAAGCACAAUAAAGUACUUCCUGUUUGUUAGGUAAUCUCGAAGAAUAGAUUUCUUCAAUUGAUAAUCUUCCCCGAUAAUUACACUAACCCGAGAUGGAGGCAUCACAGACUUGAUUAUGUCAUCCAAUAUCUUGCCAAAAUCGUAGGUUAUAGAAACCCUGACCCAAGCAAGACAGUCAAAAUAGAACUUGACGUGAUCAUUAUUGUAAGUAUCUGCGGCAAAAACAGUCUUGUCGAAGCCACUGCUGUCGAGAAUUGCAACCACUGCAAGCCCAGAUGGUCCCUCAAUCAAUAGAUCAAACAACUCCUCUCUGCCCCUUUCAAAUUCACUGAUAUCAAGCCGAGGAUGUCCCGCACUCAAUAGGCGAAUGAUUUCGUUACUUUUUUCACUGAUAUCAAAACCAUUGUCGCCGGGUGGAAGUUGUUGCAUCCGAUUUCUAAUAUCAAUGAUUUCACUGUGGAGUCCAUCAAGAAGAGCCAUAUUAGUGCUGCUUUCACUUUCGUUUUCACUGUUUUGCUGCUGCAUGAUGUUGAUGAAGAAUGUGUCAAUGGCUUCCUGUGAGUCACGGACAAAGUUAUUGAUGUCCUCCAGAAUUUCAAAAAUAUCUGCUGUUUCAACGUUUUCUUCAUCGCUUUCUUCUAAGUCCAACAGUUGCAAAAAAGGCAAAGAUAUUUUGGAGUCAUCGAAAUCUUCUCUAAUGAGUUGAAACAAAUGCCGAGCCAUGUCAGCUUCAUAUUUUCCCAGCAGAGUAGUAGCAAUAAUUUCGGACUCCGUAAGAAGGUUUUGAAAAAGUGGAGUUAAAUUUGUUGAAUCUGGCAGCGGCAACGUGCCUUCUUCACCUGCUAACACCCUUCUCAACCUCUCACAAAAUAGUCGGAGGUGGACGUCCAGCAUAUCUCCUUCUCUCUGUAGCACCCAGAGGUAUUGUUUUUUGCUCCAAGAAAUAUUAAAAGGAUUGGUUCUAUCUAAAAGUGGUUACUGGUGUAAAAUUAAACGCCAUGGGAGAAUUUGAAAGGAAGAUGCCAAGGAACUGGCGAAGUGGCUAAAUUCCACAAAUACGGCAUUAUUGCUCAUUUUUAACUCAAAAAAUUGAUACGCGUUCAUUUUGCGAAAAGUCCAAGACGCUUGCCUUUUGAAAAGAAGAG